rnacentral:lncRNA from 1 species
CGUCGCUCGCAUCGCACCGAUGGUUGGUUGGUCUGCUCGUUCCGCUUCCGUGAUUGGCUCACGUGAUCGUUGAAAGUUCAGACCAACUCAGGAUUGACUUGCUGUCAUGGACGUCGCCGCCGGCACAGCAGCCGGUCUGGUCCACCAUUGAUUCACAUGUUCAUUGCUUAAUUUUUUAUUUUCUUUAGAGAGGAUUGCUUCGCGUGUUUGGUUUAAAAAAAGGGAGAGCUGGCCUUUUUGAGUUGCUUGCUCUCGUGUACAUAGGCUUUCGGUUGUUGGUUUGUCCAGAUUGCUUCUAGUGGGUUUCCUUUUUAUUGGCUUGCACUCCUGUACAUAGGCAUUUUGGCUUGGCUUGUAUGCACUGCAUGCCGUGUUCCUUUCUUGUCAGUGCUCCUUUCUUGUAAGCACAAUCUUUUUAUUUGUUGCAUGUAACUUGAAAGUCUACAGUCAAUUUAUUUGUUGUAACAUAGGAUUCUACAGUAAUCAUCAAUCAGAUGCAGGCAACAUCCUGCAUUCUUUUAUUUGUUGUAACUUGAAAUUCUGCAGUCAAUUUAUUUGUUGUAACUCGAGACAAUAAUGCGAACAACAUACGUGCAUUACAAAGAUUAGUGGGGAAGAAAAAACAAGAUUGACAAGAAGCACUUGAUAUGUAAUAAUUUCAAACAUGUUUCUAACGUAAAUACCACAUACAUGAAGAAAACACACACGCUAAUUUCAUAAAAACAAUGGGGGUGAAUGGUGCCAUAAAAAACAUAAGUGGCUAACAAAUUACUGCCAGACAAAACCUAUAUCAAGACGAUAGUUGCAUGGUGAUUGAUCUCAACCGUAGAGUUUCAGUAAAAUAUCUUACCAGACAGAAAUAUAAAAAUGCACUCAAAUCUUCAGACCAACCUGAAGACAUAUAGAACCCACAUGCAGCUACCCAUACAUGCCCAAAUUAUUUGAUUGCAAUAUUCUUUAGAGUGAAGAUCCUACCAAACAUCUUCUAUUUACAAGUACUUCUUGUGAAUCCUAAACCCGCAGUUGCAUCGAAUAGAAACAGUGUAAAAUCAUCUAAUCCUUGUCCACUUUGGGUGUGGAAUCCUUCUUGGCAGCCUGGGACUCCAGCUCCUUGGGUACCGAUCGCUCAGCAGAUCUGUGGAGAUCAAAGAUAUAGUAGGUGGGGAUCAGAUCAAAUAUGCUGUGUUGACUUUACCAUAGUAUGAAGCCUUGAAUAAAACAAAGGAAAUAGAAACCAAUCCAACCACGGUAUUAUAGAAUGGAAUUAAUAAAAUUUAAUGUUAUCUUCGAAAGGGAGCUUUGUAGAAAUGUGAUGUCAAACAUAAUUUGCAGUUUCAAACCACUGGGACAUAGUGCAAAGGUGAAAGACUAGCAAGUGCUGCUAAUGCCAUUUUGGAACAUGAGAUUAGUAGAACUUUUUUUUAUCAAACUCAGUGGAUAAAGGCUAGUUAGAGCACUGAUAAAUUGAAUUGUACAAGAACAAUUGGCAAGAGCAAUUCCUGCCUAGCCCUCUCUUAAACUGAUGCGAUGCCAAUCAAUAUGGUUAAGCCUUCACAUCAGGAACCAAUGCACAGCAUGGAAAAGAAGGGCAAGAAAAGAAGGAAUGAAAAACCAAGGUGUGGAACUUGGGGACAAGUUGGCUCUCUUUGGCAUUGCCAAUAGGCAAUAGGCACAUGCUUUUAGGUAUCGAGAAGAAGUUGAGGUGGCUAGCCUAGCAUGUGUAAUCCUUUAUGACUAGUUUUUGAUAAAGCUAAAUAAAGUUCAUAAUCAUUUAACACAAGUGUGUUAAUUAUAGCCUCUUCACAAAGGAAGAAAUAAAAGCACAAAGAAAGCUACAAAAGAAACCAGGCUAGCAUCUAAACUGGAGGUGAAAUUUGUUACAAGCCUGAGCUCAAUAUUAACCACAACCAUUAUUGGUGGUAUUAAUUAAAUAAUUCGCAAUAUUUCAGGCUUUCAGCUAAAAUGUGUUAUCAUGAAUGAAAUGAUGAAUAUGUUGUCAGCAAAGGAUGGAAGGGCCUGUAAGGCUCCAGAGUGACAUAAGGUGCUGGGCCAAGAUAUUGAAAUACUAAGUUUAUAACUUGAAAGGCAGAAACCUAAAUCUGAAAGAAAGCUUACACUAUCAUGCAACAUUAAAUCUACAAAAGGGGUAAUUUCCAUAGUGAAAUGGUUUUGUGCGUAAUCACCAUUCUCUCUCCUCUGCGCUCACUCCAAACUCCAAAGGGGUGUGUUUUGAAGAAACAAAAUUCAUGGAUGUUCAUCAUGCUAUAAAGUGUACACAUGAAAAUUAUGGUACAAAAUAAUGACCAUACAUUUUCUGCGCCCUAAGUUUUUUUCGGCACAACAUGAGUAGUGAAUAGUAUGCAUUCAGAGGUUCAAUUUUCCUUUUUGACGAAGUCACAUGCAGUCAUAUUUGGGCACAAGCUUUGCACAUAACCGUGUGCAGAAUUCGGGUCCUCUAUAAAAGUUGAGACUGGCCAAGCAGGUGGAAACAAAACUGAAGAUUAUAUCUUCUAGUGAGGGAACUACUUGUCGCCAAUGAAUCAAGCCUGGAAUGAUAAUUCCAGCACUAGAAAACCACUGAUGAUAAUUUCCAGUACUAGACAAACACGAUAAAGAAUUUAUACCAAACAGGCCAAAUGGGGGAUAUGAAUCUACACCAUAUCUAUCUCUCGCUGCGAUGCAGGGAUAACCUAAUUGAAAAAUACGUAGAUCUAUGAUUUUUCAAUCCGUUGAAUAUAACAACCCUGAGCUACCUCGGAUGAGAACACAUCAUAUUGUAAUUUCACAAAGAGCAAAGCAAUCUGAUACUACUAAGUAAGAUCUAAGCCGAUGAUCCCGAUUCCUCCAGCUCCACUGCAAUUGACUCAGAGAACAAUCGACUAGUGCAAGCAAGGGAGGGGGCGGAGAGCGUACGUGGUGGCGGUGGACUCCUCCUCGAGCCAGGUCUUGAUGUGGCGAAUGUUGCGGCGGAAGACGGCGGACGACUGCUUCACGUCCUUCCGCAGCAGCAUCACCGCCGCGCCCACGCCCACCACCGUCAGGAUCAAGUUGGUCAACGCCAUCGCCACACAACAACUCCUCUGUAGAACCCUAGCGCGAGGCGUGGAUCGUCGCCGGAGUUUGGGGCGAGAAAGGGCCUGCUGACGGCGUCGGAGCAGAGAGAUGAGGUUUUGAGAUAUGGGCUUGCCUGCUCGGAAUAAUAAGAUGGGGCCUGCGCGGUGUUGCUGGCCCGUUAAAGGCCCACAUGCUACCUCACAAGGCUGAAAGCCCAGCUUCUGUUAACUCCUCCCCGCUGAGACGUCCAACACCCACCGCCGGUCACGAAUUGGCGGCGGCGGCGGCGACACGGCAAGAUGCUAUCCCGCGCCCGGCGCCUCCACCCCGCCAUCCGCUGCCUCCUCCGUGCAACCGCUGCACCCUCGUCUCCUCACCCUCUUCCCACACAACACAUCCUAACUGGCUCCCAAAUCCCUAAACCCUUCCCCCUCCUGCGCCGCCACCUCUCGUCCCCACCGGCGCCGGUGUCUUCCCCUCCGGCGGUGGUGUCUUCUGACCUCCCAGCCGUCUGUACCAAUGGCAAGUGCCCGGGUUGCGGCAUCGCCAUGCAGUCCGCCGACCCGGCCCUCCCCGGCUUCUUCAACCUCCCAUCCCCCAAGUCUCCCGACUACCGCGCGCGCCUCGCGCCCGUCACCGCCGACGACACCGGCAUCUCGGCCUCCCUGAAAAGCGGGCUCCUCCAGGAGGGCCAAGAGAACUCACGGGAGGGCGGGGCGGUCGCGGUGGUGGCGGCGGCAGCGGAGGCGGAGGCCGAGAAGAAGAGCAAGGUGGUGGUGUGUGCUCGGUGCCACUCGCUGCGCCACUACGGCCACGUCAAGCGCCCCGACGCCGAGGUCCUGCUCCCGGACUUCGACUUCGUGGCCGCCGUCGGCCCGCGCCUCGCGUCGCCCUCGGGGGCCAGGUCGCUGGUGCUGCUCCUCGCGGACGCGUCGGACUUCGACGGCUCCUUUCCGCGCGCCGUGGCGCGCCUGGUCGCCGUCACCAGCGAGGCCCACCACGCGGACUGGAAGCGUGGUGCGCCGUCUAACCUCCCCCGCGCAGUGCUCGUGGUCACCAAGCUCGACUUGCUCCCGACGCCGUCGCUUUCCCCCGACGACGUGCACGCGUGGGCGCAGGCCCGCGCGCGCGCCGGUGCUGGCGCGGACCUGCAGCUGGCCGGCGUUCACCUUGUCAGCGCGGCGCGAGGGUGGGGGGUGCGCGACCUGCUGAACCACGUGCGCGAGCUCGCCGGGGCGCGCGGCAAGGUCUGGGCUGUUGGCGCGCGGAAUGUGGGCAAAUCGACGCUGCUGAAUGCCAUUGCUCGGUGCUCUGGGGCAGAGAGCGGGCAAACCUUGACAGAGGCGCCUGUUCCGGGAACAACCCUCGGGGUGAUCCGGGUGGAUGGCGUUCUUGGUGCUCAGGCCAAGCUGUUUGAUACUCCGGGCCUGCUUCAUGGACACCAGCUGACGUCCAGACUUACACCCGAGGAGCAGAAGCUUGUUCAAGUGAGGAAGGAGAUGCGACCCAGAACAUACAGAAUAAAGGUCUCAUUCCGUCCAUCUUAUGCACAUUUUGUCAGUGAAUUUUGUGAUUAGGUGAUAUGGGGACAGCUUCGCUGCUUGUUUCCUCAUACCCUUGGUCGCCCGUAUUUCUUUUCAUUAAGCAAUUGUGAAUGGUUGGGAGGGGGUAGUUAAUUCACCCUUUAAACAGUAACCAUAUUUUGUUAGUCUGAAACUGAAGUUGACAAAUGUGUGAUGAUAUACUGGAUUGGGGAAUUAACACCCUGAGUGUGCUUAGAAAGUUCAGUUCUUAGACUUUUGACUAUAUAUAUCACAUGUCUGCUUCAAUCCGAAAUGACAUGAAUAGUCUUUCGAUAAGAAUCACCUGUGUGACAGGUUCUUAUAUUUCUAAUUCGUUUUGUUUACAACCUUUUCAGGCAGGGCAGUCCAUACAUAUAGGAGGGCUAGUGCGCCUGGAUGUGGAAGACUUGACUGUAGGAUCAAUCUAUGUUACAGUUUGGGCAUCACCACUUGUGCCACUUCACAUGGGGAAGACCGAAAAUGCAGAGUCUAUGAUGAAAGAUCACUUUGGCUUACAACUGCAGGUAUCUUCUAUCUCAUCCUUAAAAAGAUGUUGUUUUUAUCCUAAUUCAUGUACAUCAUAAAAUAACUUGCUGCUUGGUGUGAUAUGUGCAGCCCCCUAUAGGCCAGAAACGAGUGAAAGAGCUUGGGAAAUGGGUGAGGAAACAAUUCAAAGUUUCUGGAAAUAGUUGGGAUGCAAAUACUAUGGAUAUAGCCAUUUCAGGUCUUGGCUGGUACGGAAUUGGGCUGAAAGGAGAGGCAGUAUUAGGGUUAUGGACAUAUGAUGGUGUUGAUGUUGUCCCCAGGAGCUCCCUUGUCCAUGAGAGGGCAUCGAUUUUUGAGGAAACAGGAUUCUCAGUUUCAAAAGUCGUCUCACGGGCAGAUAGCAUGACGAAUAAGCUGAAAGGCAAUAAGAAAACAAGCAAGAAGGAGAUGAAAGCCGGUUCACAUUCUUCUGAAGUAUCGGAACUUUCAGAACUUGCUACGGUCAUAGAUGCUUGAGUGUUUCAUUCCAUUCUGUGAUACGAGUUUCAGUUAUAUAAUCAUAUCUUAUAAACUGUUGGCUGAGGUUUGAACCACAUAGAAGCAUAGUACUCCCUCCGUCCGGAAAUACUUGUCAUCAAAAUGGAUAAAAAGGGAUGGAUCUAGACGUAUUUUAGUUCUAGAUACAUCUCUUUUUAUCUAUUUUGAUGACAAGUAUUUUUGGACGGAGGGAGUACAAUUUAAGCUUGCUUGGAGGGGUAUGGUUGUUCAUGGAAGAUUUUUGUGGGAGCAUGGGUGUCAUUUGGACUUGCUGUUGACUGGUAAUAAUAACCAAAUAUCAGUCAAGUGAAUCUUUGUUAGUAUGCUUGACUCCUUAAAACAGCAAGAGAAUGCCUCUCAUGGUCUGUUCUCUCUUACCUUGUUUCAGCAUCCAUGUAUCUAACGUUUUGUGUUACUACGUCAAACAUGCAGAAUUGCGAUAGUCAGUUUUUACAUCUGAAUCAUGUGGCGAAUAUAUUGCGCUUAAGUUAUAUAACUUCUGUGUUGGAAUUUUGAGACAGAAAUCUACGGAUUCACAGCUCAUUUAUCUAUCAAAGAAGAUUGCCAGAGACUUGUAAAUCCCGUUGCACCCUUCACACAGUAACAGCUCUCAUUUUGCCAAAGAACAUCUCACUGAAUCCUUUUGCUGCUUCGGCUUGCUUUUUGCUGGACUAGUUAUGUAAGGUUUUUGUCUACAUUUGCAUUGACUGUGACCUUCGUUUCUUGAAAUGGUACCAUUCUUAUGUACUACUAAUGCUACCAAAAACACAACAUGAUGUUCCUUUUGCAUAAAAACUGGAGAGGUUUCAAGAAAUGUGCAUGUGUGUACAAAUGGUCUCACAGAAGCAGGCACAGGGUUGCUGUCAAUUGACAAGUUUUCUGGAUGAUUAAAGAACAGCAUGUGAACAUCUGUGAAGCCGAAAAUUUCAAAAAAAAAAAAAUCUGUUGGUAGCUUACCAAAGCAUCUCUGAAGCCUCAAGGCGUUUUUUUAACAUUAUUUCUUCGUUCUCGUUGAGAAGAUGCAUGUUCACUCAACAGUCUGGAAUUGUACGCUGUGACUUGUAAAUCUGCAUCAGAAAAUCACAUUAAUUGGACGGUAGAUGUACUGCAAAAUUAGCAGGUACUCCAGUUAUAUGCAAAAUUUUGGCGCAUGCUUCCAUCACUGAAGCAAAAUAAGUAGGUACACCAGCACCGGAUGAGGCAGAAACUCAUAACUUGCACCUGGUUCGGUUUCUGCUUUGCCUGUCUCGUCUGUUAUGUUAUCUGAGUCAUCAAUCGUGUAAAAGGUACUCUCUCUACAUUAGUGAUCUAAACGAUCUUAUAUUUCUUUACAGAGGGGAUAAUUUGGAAGAACGAUCUGAAAUGCAAUAUACGUUCGGCAAGUAGAAGAAGCCUGCCUUUUCAACCCAAAUCUUCAGAUACCAUCUUUGACGUAUUAAAAAACAGCAACUUUUCAUGUUAAUUGUUAUUAACGGCUGAGUUUCGCCGUAUCAACUUUUGAAAAGUUCUUUUAGGGUAAACUUUCAAAAGUUGACGGAUAUACUUGCUUUUAGCAAUUGAAUGUCAAAAGAGUCGAGACUAUGAGAAACAGAAGCACAUUUGGUCGACGACCCACGAAGACCGGGGAAUAAAUCCACAAACCCACGGUUCCGGAUGACAUGAUGAGGGAACCUUAAGUGCCCGUGUAGCGACCAGACCUCAAACAGUCUAGUCUCUGUGCAUCAGUGUCAUUCCUGGAUCGGUAAUGCUGACACGCACAGUACUUGAGGAUUUAUAACAGAGUCUCAAUCACACACUUAUUACAUCGAAUGUCUCAAAAGAGAACUUAUUACAAUACUAUGGCUUAAGGCCAUCUAAAUAAGAUAACAACGGGAGGCUUGGAAGAUAAAGUGAGUCCAUCAACUCCAACGGCAUAGCUGAGUGAACGACAACGACCUAUGGCACCUUACUCGUCGUCUGAAAAGUCUGCAACAUGAUAUGUUGUAGCCCGAAACAGGUCAGCACAUGGAAUAUGCUGGCAAUAUAACACAAGAGAGUAAUGAACAUAAUAAAUGCUAUCACUACAUGCAUAUAUGACUGGUGAAAAGCUCUAUGGUUAUUUUUUUGCAAUAAGCUAUUUUUUCCCUAUAACAAAGGAAUAGAUUUUAUUUAACUAUCAUGGUGGUUGUUAAACAUUGAGAAUAUUUCUCCAACUCAAUCUCAAUUAAGCAAUAUCAAUUAUACCCAAUAAAUUAAUUUAAAGUGAUGAGAUCAACAUGAUAAUCCAAGAACCAGAUACUCAAGAUGUCCAUAACCGGGGACACGGCUAACCAUAAUUAGUUUGUACACUCUGCAGAGGUUUGCACACUUUUCCCCACAAGACUCGAUCUCCUCCAUUAGAUUUCUCGCACUACAUGGUGUCUGAGAAACGGAUGACCGAGACACAGUCUUUCAGAAACAUUGACUCUUUACUCUGGAUGGACAGUUACACCUACUUUCCCCUACAUCUGCUAGCCCACCACUGAAAGAGGUCAUGCAACCUACUCAACUAUGCUAGAGCCCAUAAUAGCUUGUGGCUGCACAUGGAAGUUUCUAACAUGAAUAAUCUUAUGAUCCCUUUGAGCCUGGGUGGCGGACCGUAGGGUAGUCACACGGGUACUCCGGGAUAUCCUAGGACAACACUGGAUUCUCCAGGUGCCCUGACAACCACUAGGUACUCCAGGGUGCCUCAACCAAUCCACCCAGAUGUGUAUUUAAGUAGCCACCUUAAGUUAACCAUUAAUUAACAAUUCUCACAUCUAUCAUGGAUACACUCAACAAAUCCAUGUCUACGAGCAUAGCAUAGCAAUCUUGAGCAAUCGUAGAAGUAACUCCCAAAGGUUUGAUAAUAAAAGGGCAAUAGGUUCUACCUCAUCAUCUACUUCCCAAACCCACAUGUUAUUCAGAUCCUAACCAUGCAAUGUUUGAGGAUUGAGACUAAUGCAAAAAAACAGGGUAAUAAAGAGGUAUGAUCAAAGUGUUACUUGCCUUGCUGAUGAUCCGCAAAACCUAGAGACUCGUAGUAGAACGCUUCGCACUCCGGGUAUUCUAUCGCAAACAAACAAUAACAUACAUAAGCACUCAACUAGAAGCAUGGGUAAAAUUCAAAUAAGAAGAUCUAACCAGAAAGUUCAACUGAAUAACUCCGGUUUGCAAAAAGAAUCAAAUCAAACGGAGCAACGAAACUCAAUCUACGAAAGAAACAAGAAUCGUUUACUAAUCUGGACUAAAGUCAAAUUUUAUAGUACCAAAAUCUUGUUCAAGUUGGUUAAACAGAAAUAGGGCUUCGAGACGAAGACCUAGGCGCUUGUUCUAAUUCGGAUAAACGAGCGAAAAGAUAAACUAGAUCGAAGAUCACGGCAGAAAUCGUGAUCGAAAAUAAUCGCGGAUAAACCCUGGAAAAUAAAACGAGACAAACAGGCUGACGAACGAACGUUCACUGUCUGUGACUAACCGACGGACAACGUUCAUUAUAACGAAUGUACGUACGAACGUCCGCUAAAUAACUAGACCGAAAAACCGAACCGAUCUAUUCUAAAAAAACAGAUCUAGGUUUCUAAAAAACCAAACGGUUAACCGAGAAAAAAAAACGACGAACGGCCGGCGGCGGCGGUGGCUACCUCCGGCGAGGCGGGGCGCGGGCUCCGGCGGGCGGCGUGGGUGUCAGCGGGAGGCGGCGGGUGGUGUGGCGGUGGCGUGGCAGGCGACGGCGGCUCCNNNNNNNNNNNNNNNNNNNNNNNNNNNNNNNNNNNNNNNNNNNNNNNNNNNNNNNNNNNNNNNNNNNNNNNNNNNNNNNNNNNNNNNNNNNNNNNNNNNNNNNNNNNNNNNNNNNNNNNNNNNNNNNNNNNNNNNNNNNNNNNNNNNNNNNNNNNNNNNNNNNNNNNNNNNNNNNNNNNNNNNNNNNNNNNNNNNNNNNNNNNNNNNNNNNNNNNNNNNNNNNNNNNNNNNNNNNNNNNNNNNNNNNNNNNNNNNNNNNNNNNNNNNNNNNNNNNNNNNNNNNNNNNNNNNNNNNNNNNNNNNNNNNNNNNNNNNNNNNNNNNNNNNNNNNNNNNNNNNNNNNNNNNNNNNNNNNNNNNNNNNNNNNNNNNNNNNNNNNNNNNNNNNNNNNNNNNNNNNNNNNNNNNNNNNNNNNNNNNNNNNNNNNNNNNNNNNNNNNNNNNNNCGGCGGCUCCGGCGGCGGUGGUGCACUGCUGCUGCGGCUUGCGGGGCGGGGCGGGGUGGCGAUGUGGGGGCGGCGGCGGUGCUAUUUAAGGGAGAAGAUGGGGCGGGGUGGCCUGGGGAAGGGGUUGGCGGCGGCGGGAGUCCGAGGCGGCGACGGGCGGCGGCGUGCGCGAGCGGGAGGCCGGCUCGGGGUCGGGGACGACGCGAACUGGGCCGGCUGUGCUUCGGCCCAGUUGGUGCGAAGAACUUUUUUUAAAAUAAUUCGGCCAGACAGAAAAAAUCCUAAAAAAUAUUAAAAAAUCCUAAAAAUGCCAAAACAAAUUUUUACCGUCUAAAUGAAAUAUUUAGAACAAGGUGAAUAUUUUUCUGGCCUGAAAAUACAAUUUUGAAAAACAUGCAAUUUUUCUAAUUCAAAUAAAAUAGCAAUAAAAUCCCAAUAAAAAUACUUAUUUGAUUAUAACAUAUUUCCUCCAAUAUUUCUUUUAUUUUGGAGAAGUCAUUUUAUCCCCUCUCUUUUAUUUUGACAUUGGAAAUAUUCGGAGACAAAAAGAUUAAAACUAAAAUGAUCCUCUUUUCAAUAUUUGAGAAAAUUCAAAUAUGAAAAUAACGAAAUCCCCAACUCUCUCCGUGGGUCCUUGAGUUGCUUAGAAUUUCCAGGAUCAACCAAAAUACAAUAAAAUAUGAUAUGCAAUGAUGAUCUAUGUAUAACAUUCGAAAUUGGAAAUUUGGAAUGUUACAAACCUACCCCCCUUAAGAUGAAUCUCGCCCUCGAGAUUCGGGUUGGAUAGAAAAUAGGUGCAGGUGGUCCUUCCAUAGGUCUUCCUCUCGUUCCCAUGUGGCUUCCUCCUCGGUGGCUCCAUUGAACUUUGCAAAACUUGAUAACCUUGCUGCGUGUGACUCAGCUGGCGUACUCGAGAAUCUUCACUGGUUUCUCCUCGUAGGUCAAAUCACUGUCCGACUGAAUCGCUUCGAGUGACAUUGUAUCUCUCAGAGGAAUAUCGACAUCUCUGCGUGGCACUUCUUCAAUUGGGAAACGUGAAACACAUCGUGAACUCCUGACAAUCCUUCUGGCAAUACUAGCUUGUAAGAAACUUCUCCCAUACAUUCCAAAACUUUGUAUGGUCCCACAAAACGUGGUGCUAACUUUCCCUUAACUCCAAAACGCUUAACUCUUCGAAGUGGGGACACACAAAGAUAUACUCUGUCACCGACUUCGUAAACUGUCUCCUUGCGUUUAGAAUCUGCAUAACUCUUCUGCCUGGACUGGGCUACCAUGAGUUGGUUGCGAAUCAGCUUAACCUUCUCUUCGGAUUCCUUAAUAAAAUCCGAUCCAAACAACUGACGGUCUCCAACUUCAUCCCAUAACAACGGUGUCCUGCACCUCCUUCCAUUCAAAGCUUCGAAAGGGGCCAUCUUCAAACUGGCUUGAUAACUGUUGUUAUAAGAGAACUCUGCAUAUGGCAAAUUGUCGUCCCAACUGGAUCCAUAAUCUAGCGCACAAGCUCUCAACAUGUCCUACAGAAUCUGAUUGACUCUCUCGGUCUACCAUCUGUCUGUGGAUGAAAGGCUGUACUGAACUCUAACCUAGUACAUAAAGUUUCGUGCAACUGAUUCCAGAACUUUGAGGUAAACUGGGUUCCUCUAUCUGAUACAAUGGUCCUAGGAACUCCAUGCAGACAUACGAUCCUGGUCAUAUAUAUCUUUGCCAACUUAGCACUCGUAUAGGUGGUCUUCACUUGGAUGAAACGAGCUACUUUCGUCAAUCGAUCGACUACAACCCAUAUCGAGUCAUAACCUGAACGAGUCCUGGGCAAUCCCGUGAUAAAGUCCAUACCAAGCUUGUCCCACUUCCAUUCGGGUAUCAGCAAUGGCUGCAGCAAUCCUGCUGGCUUCUGAUGCUCUGCCUUAACUCUCUGACAUACAUCACAUACUGCUACAUACUCAACAAUAUCCUUCUUCAUUCCGGUCCACCAGAAACUUUCCUUCAAAUCUAGAUACAUCUUGGUGUUUCCUGGGUGAAUCGAAUAUGGUGAAUCAUGGGCCUCCUGCAGAAUCAACUUCCUGAUCUCGGGGUCAUUAGGCACAUAUACGCGAUCCUCAAACCAUAAAGUGUUGUGCUCAUCCUCAUGAAAUCCUUUGGCCUUUCCUUUGCUCAUCCUUUCCUUUAUCUCGGCAAUCUCCUUGUCAGUCUUCUGAGCUUCUCUGAUCUUAUCCAUCAAAGUGGACUGAAUUUCCAAUGCUGCUACAUAACCUCUCGGAACUAUUUCCAAACAUAGCUCGCGAAGAUCUUCAGCUAACUCCUUGGGUAAUCCUCCGGUCAUGAGCGUAUUAACAUAAUUCUUGCGACUCAAUGCAUCGGCUACUACAUUAGCCUUUCCAGGAUGAUAGUGCAACUUCAUAUCAUAAUCCUUAAUGAGCUCCAACCAUCUCCUUUGCCUGAAAUUCAACUCCUUCUGUGUGAAGAUAUAUUUCAAACUCUUGUGAUCCGUGUAUACCUCACAGUGGUUUCCGAUGAGAAAAUGUCUCCAUGCCUUCAACGCAUGCACUACGGCUGCUAACUCCAAAUCAUGUGUAGCAUAAUUCAGCUCAUGAGGUUUAAGUUGCCGCGAGGCAUAUGACACAACUCUUCCUUCCUGCAUAAGCACUGCUCCAAGUCCUCGACGUGAAGCGUCGCAAUACACUUGAUAAUCCUUUCGUUGAUCUGGAAGAAUCAACACUAGGGCUGUAACCAAACGUUUCUUUAACUCCUGAAAACUGGCUUCACACUCCUCAGUCCAUUUAAACUUGGUGUCCUUCUUCAACAACUCUGUCAUGGGCUUUGCAAUCCUGGAGAAAUUCUCAAUGAACCUCCGUUAAUAUCCUGCGAGUCCGAGAAAACUCCGGAUCUCUCCAACUGACGUGGGUGCUACCCAUUUAGUCACAGAAACAACCUUGGUGGGGUCUACUGCUAUUCCUUCUCUGGAUAUAACAUGUCUGAGAAAUCCAACUUCCACUAUUAGGGAAAAGCCUAGCAGUAGGGCUGGUUUUUGGCCUAUCAGUAGCGCGGGAAACCGCGCUACUGAUAAGGCGCUACAGCUAAAGCUUAGCAGUAGCGCCUGCUAGCACGCGCUACUGCUAUAUCUACUUAGUAGUAGCACUUUCCUAAACAAGCGCUACUGCUAAUUACUAGUAGAGCUUUCGAGAACAAUCGCUACUACUAUUAUUCCUAGUUCCAUUUCUUUUUUAUUUUAGGUCGUAUUCAUACAUCUGUAUACAAUUUUUCAUACAGUAGCGAUGUAGAGAUUGUUUUAACAUCAUAAUGAGUUAUUAAAUCACUAGGUGAAAGAACUUUGGAUUAGUUUCAAGUGCAUGGAUCCAAAGUAACCAAUGGUCACUUUGGAUCCUUCCAUUUGAAACUUACAUGCGGUUCUUUCACCCAAUGACAUAAUAACUUAUCACUUAUCAUCAUAAUAUAUGAUUGCCAUAUAACUCCUCAUAAUCAUCAUUUUCGUCUAUGAUGAGACAUCAUAUAACCACUUCGUCACUAGUUAUAAUAAGAACUCCUCCUCAUCAUCAUCAUCAUAGUACUCAUAAUCACUACUCCUACUCAACAUCACCAUCAAGUCUAAGACAUUGUAGUCAUAUAUAUAAUCAACACUAAAUAAUUGUUCUUAAUACUUAGGACCUACUCCUCUCUCCUAGCUAAAAUACCAUAAAACAGAUAAACUGGUCCUUCACCAUAAUGGAGAAUGGACAUAAACCUAUCUCCAACUUGUGGCUUGCGCACAUUCAUUUUGUCUCCAAUUAUUUGCAUGUGCGCAUUCAUCACUUUGCUCCAUUCUUUGAUUUUGAGCCUUCCAUCAUUUGAAGAAAUCGAGUAUGCAGUAUGGUAAGCCUCUAAAGGAGUUGGUCAUAAGCUACCAUAUGCAUAUCACCUUCGGUACAUAGCAUGUCAGGCACAACCUGCUUCAGGAGCCUCUGUUCAAAACCGAAAUAGUAACAUAUAUAGUUAGCAAUGAUGUUACUUAAGAAUAAUGUAUGCAAUGAAGUUACCAUCAUUAACAAAAUCUUACCAAGUUUUUGGCAAUGAAGUUACCAUCAAGCAAUUUAUGGACCAGUGGCACGUAUCUAGUAUAAUUUGGGCUACUAGAGUGACUGGUUUUGAAGGCCUCAACAUCUUCUAUGAAUGAGACAAGAUAACCUUUCUCCUCACAAUUAAGCUUGAAGUCAUAGCUGUAGUAUGUGCUAUCUACUACCUUUCGAGUAUUUCUUGAAGAUAAGAAUAAGCUGACAAUUAUAAAUAAAUAAGUUUAGUACGGACGAAUACCAAAUAUUUUUAAAUUAACAACAUAAAUUACUGAACUUAACAAAUUAGUUUGACAAACUCACAUCUAGGUAAAACUGGAGGCAUAUCCACAUCCACCCAGAUGUCGAUAUCAUCAUCAUAAUAAUAAUCUUCGGGACGAAUAUCUAAUUUUAUUUGCAUUCCCUCCUCAAAUCCAUAUGCCUUGCAGAGAGCUUCCCAAUUAGAGCAACCGAAAUGGGAGCGAUCGGCCGCAUUGUAGAACUUAACCAGAAACUCAUAACCAUGUUUAGUUCUUAAGUGAGCCCUCCUCGUCUCCACAUUCUCAAAGUCAUCUAAACCAAAACCAAGCUUCUCCAAUAUAUAUGGUCUAGCAUGGCACGGGAUGUACUAGUCGAAUUGAAAAAAAAUCCAUAAAUUACAUGUUGAACAAAAGAAGCACAAGUGAUGAUAUUUAUUACGAUGAAAUGCUUGUCAUUGCAUACCGUACAAACAUCGAAGGUCUCUUCCAGCUUCAUGGUGAAAAACCUAUCAUUUUGCAGGUGAGAAAACCUGUCGCACACACCACGGUCAUCGUACUAGUACCCGCACUCCGGGAUCCCAUCGUCAUCAGGCAUCUCCUGUGUUCAAAAUUCAAAGAUUAUAACUCGAGGCAAAACCCAAAAAAUCUGGCAUGACCAUUGCUAAAAAAGACAUAUCGAGCGCCGGAAAUUUGCCGGAACGGAAAUUAAUCAACACCCCGACAAAACAUAGGCCACUUAUCGAUGGUCAUUGCAUUUCAAUGGUUCAAAAUAUAAAAAAAAACAUUUGAAAAUAUCUUAUAUAUAAUCCUAACACUAAAUAAAGUAGUUUUAUUAACUACUUACUAAAUAAACUAGUUUUAUUAACUACUUACUAAAUAAACUAGUUCUAUUAAGCACUUACUAUAAAUAAACUAGUUCUAUUAAGCACUUACCAAAUAAACUAGUUCUAUUAAGUACCUAAUAUAAAUAAACUAGUUAUAUUAAUCACUUACUAAAUAAACUAUUUUCUAUUAAAUACUUGCUAAAAAUUCUACUACCCUAGUUCUACCCUAAAUUUUCUUACUUCUAUUUUAUUCAAAACACCUAUGAUUUGCAAGAAUAGAGACAAGGGAGGGAGGGAGGAGAGAGGAGGGGGAGGGNNNNNNNNNNNNNNNNNNNNNNNNNNNNNNNNNNNNNNNNNNNNNNNNNNNNNNNNNNNNNNNNNNNNNNNNNNNNNNNNNNNNNNNNNNNNNNNNNNNNNNNNNNNNNNNNNNNNNNNNNNNNNNNNNNNNNNNNNNNNNNNNNNNNNNNNNNNNNNNNNNNNNNNNNNNNNNNNNNNNNNNNNNNNNNNNNNNNNNNNNNNNNNNNNNNNNNNNNNNNNNNNNNNNNNNNNNNNNNNNNNNNNNNNNNNNNNNNNNNNNNNNNNNNNNNNNNNNNNNNNNNNNNNNNNNNNNNNNNNNNNNNNNNNNNNNNNNNNNNNNNNNNNNNNNNNNNNNNNNNNNNNNNNNNNNNNNNNNNNNNNNNNNNNNNNNGAGGAUGGAGCGGUGGGAGGAGGAGAGACAGAAGGAGGGAGUACCUCGGUGGCGGACGGACGACGGCGGCGGCGGCGAUGGACGACGGUGAUCGGCGCGGGCGAGAGCGAGGGGGAGAGUGAGUGAGAGAGAGGGGUCGGCCAUGCACGUGGGGAUAAGGUAGGGUUAGUAGUAGCGCGGGCAGCAAAACGCGCUACAGCUAAUGUGAAUAGCAGUAGCAAUGCGCUGGGAUGAACGCUACUGCUAAGUUGGAUUAGCAGCAGCACUUUGCUACGAAAAGCGCUACCGCUAAGUUGUUUGUCAAUGCAAAAAUACAUUGGCCAUCAAUGAUCUUUUUGUGUACAAUCUGAAUUGUCAAUAUGGGUCCUCUCCGGUAGGAACCGGAGAAGACUCAUAUUGUGGCCACAAAUUCUACACAUAGAGUUCAGUGAAGACCAAGUGGUUGUGAUAGUUUGAGGAGUAACAUAUUUAAGGUGGUAAACACCCUAUUCGCGGAGCGAGGUGGGGCUGAACUUGUGGGCUGAACUUAGCAGUAGCGAGUUUCAAAGAAGUGCGCUGCUACUAACAUCUGUAGCAGUAGCGCGGUCCAUUAUAGGGCGCUACUGCUAUAACUAGCUGGACAACCAUGUCAUGGCAAUUAGAGCAGUAGCGCGGUUUUGUGGGAACGCGCUACUGCUACUUUUCUUUCAGCAGCGCAUUUUCUUGGAGCGCGCUGCUGCUAAAUAGCAGUAGCGUUGUAUUUUGAAGAUCAUUGCUGGUAAGAUUUUGUGUAUAAGGUUUUCCCUAGUAGUGUUCCUUCAACCAAAACUCACAUUUGCUUAACUUGGCAUAUAACUGAUGUUCCCUGAGCUUCUCAAGAACCAAACACAAAUGCUCCUUAUGCUCCUCUUCGUUCUUCGAGUAGACCAAUAUAUCAUCAAUGAACACUAUGAUGAACUUAUCCAAAAACUCCAUAAACACUUUGUUCAUCAUGUUCAUGAAAUAGGCAGGCGCGUUAGUCAGACCAAAUGACAUAACGGUAUACUCAUAUAGCCCGUACCUUGUGGUAAAAGCUGUCUUAGGUAUAUCCUGCUCUCGAAUCUUCAGCUGAUGCUAUCCUGAUUGCAGAUUGAUCUUGGAAAAUACUUUAGCUCCUCGCAAUUGGUCAAACAAAUCAUUGAUCAUCGUCAUUGGGUACUUGUUCUUGAUCGUCACUUCAUUCAACACACGAUAAUCAACAACCAUCCUCAAUGAUCCAUCCUUCUUCUCCACUAUAAGUACUGGGGCUCCCCAAGGUGACGAACUUGGUCAAAUAUACCCUUUAUCCAGUAACUCCUUAAUCUUCUUCUUAAUUUCCUCCAAAUCCUGUGCGGGCAUCCAAUACGGUCUUUUUGAUAUUAGCCCGGUGCCUGGCAAAAGCUCAAUCAAAAACUCAAUGUCUCUAUUCGGUGGCAUGCCUGGCAACUCCUCUGGAAAUACAUCAGGAAAAUCCUUCACCACUGGCACUUCCUCUUGUACAACUCCUGAUAAGGAAUUCACUUGAGUCCUCUUCAGCAUAUGUCAGGAUACAUACUUAAUCCUGCUUCCUUCUGGGGUGGUGAGCAUAAUUGACUUACUGGCUCAACCGAUGUUUCCUCCAUACAUCGAUAGCCAAUCCAUACCCAAAAUCACAUCCAAUCCUUGCGACUCCAGAAUUAUCAGAUCCGAGGGGAAAAAUGCCUACCUAUGGUCAAUGGCAUCUGAAAACAUCAUUGGCUUGCCAUAUGCUCCGCUCCUGGUGAGCUUACUAACAUAGGUGUCCUAAGAACUUUGGUGGGAAACUUAUACUUAUCCACAAAUCCCAUUGAUAUGUAUGAAUGUGGUGCACCAGUAUAAAAAAGAACGAUUGCAGUAAAUGACUUAACCAAAAACUUACUUAUAAUUUCAUCUGGUAGCUCUUCAACCUCCUCCAUGCUAACGUGGUUCACUUGUCCCCUGUUGAAAGGGUUGGGCUUGUUCCCAGAGCUUCCAUUGCCAUUUCCAUUCUUUGCUUGAGAACACUCGAUGACGUAGUGUCCAUUCUUCCCGCACUUAAAACAAGUAAUGUGACUUAGAUCCUUUGUGGCAGGCGUUGCUGGGUUGGAACGGUUCUGGCCGUUGCUUCCUCCAUUGCCAUUCCCAUUCUUGGGGCCACUAUGGUUAUGCGAACUCCCUCCAUUGGAAUUAUGGCCUCCGUGGUUAUGGUGAAUGUGUCCUCCCGAAUUCGGGGUAAAACGAGGCCUCUGCUGAGCUCCUGAAUUGUACUUCCCUUGUCCAUACUUCCUCUUGCGGCUAUAUAUCUGCUGAUGCUUUCCUUCAAUCAUAAGAGCUCUAUCUACCAACUCCUGGUGGUCGUUGAAUGUUUCCACCAUCAACUGCAUGCUCAGUUCAUCAUUCAGUCCUUCCAGAAACUUCUCCUGCUUAGCAACAUUUGUAGCGACGUCAUCAGGGGCAUAACGUGCUAACUUACUAAACUCAUCCACAUACUGACCCACUGAGCGUCCUCCUUGGCGCAAGUUGUGAAACUCGCGCUUCUUCAUGUUCAUAGCUCCUGCUGAAACAUGGGUAGUGCGGAAAGCCUGCUGAAACUGGUCCCAUGUAACAGUGUCAAUGGGGUAAGUGGCUGUGAAAUUCUCCCACCAUGAUGAUGCAGGUCCAUCAAGCUGAUGUGCAGCAAAACACACUCUCUCUGCAUCUGUGCAUCCUGCAGUGGUCAGCUCCCUUCCAAUCUUGUGGAGCCAAUCAUCUACAACAAUCGGCUCGGUGCUACUAGAGAACACCGGCGGAUUCAGCCUUAGAAAACGGGCUAAAUGGUCAACAGGUGGUGGUGGUGGUGGGUUAUUGUUGUUGUUGUUGUUGUUGCCUUGGUUCUGAUUCUGAACUAGUAGCUGCAUCAAGGUAUUCUGCUGCUGGAUCAACUGGGUGAGCUCCGGUGGGAAAGCAAAUCCAUUGCCACGCCUCGGAGGCAUCUGAUUGGUUUAGAAAAGGUGAGAAAACAGAAUAGAAUGAGGUCUAGAGGGAAAACACUACCCAUAUACACAUGAGACAAACACAAUCAUAUCACUUCAAUAAAUUCACACAAGGGCUUACAAUCGGUCUAAUUAUCGUUACAAAAGUGCUCGGACUAUACUAUAUACAUGGGGGAAUACUACUACUGAUAUGGUGGUCGACUAGAAGUUUUAAUCGGUGGAAGACUCCAUCACUACAAGAAAUAUGUCAACUAGUGACCUUCUGUCAGUGACCCUGGAAGAAUUGGUCAUAAAUUUAUGACCAUUUUAGACCAAUUGGUCAAAAGCUGUUCGGGGGGCUCCAAACCCUAACCCAUAACGACCAUGCUAGUCAGAAAGGUUGUAAUUUCAUUAGUUAAAAUGGUCGUAAAUUAGACAUCCCUGGUCCGUGCCUCAUUUCUAGGAAAUUACGACCAAUAUGAAUGGUCGUUACACUUGAGCUUUAAUGCAGUUGUAUGAUUAGGCAGCCACCUCAGCAGUCUCGCCUAUGUGGAGUGCUUAGUUGUCAUUUUCGCUUACAUGUGUAUACUCAACGAGAUAUCGUUUAGAGGAGGGUCCCACUGGACAGGCGGGACCGAGCCCUAAAUUUGUUAGUAAAAAAGAUGCACGAGGGGGGACUUGAACCCACUGUCGGUGUCAAAACCGGCGGAUCUCGGGUAGGGGGUCCCGAUCUGUGCGUCUUAGGCUAAUGGUAACAGGAAGCGAGGGACACAAUGUUUACCCAGGUUCGGGCCCUCUCAAUGGAGGUAAAACCCUACUUCCUGCUUGAUUAAUAUUGAAGAUAUGAGUAGUACAAGAGUAGAUCUACCACGAGAUCGUAGAGGCUAAACCCUAGGAGCUAGCCUAUGAUGGUAUGAUUGUAAUUGUGAUCAGCCUUCUAAGGACCAACCUCUCCGGUUUAUAUAGACAUCGGAGAGGGGUAGGGUUUACACGGAGUCGGUUACAAGGAAGAAAAUACAAUAUCCAGAUCGCCAAGCUUGUCUUCCACGCAAAGGAGAGUCCCAUCCGGACACGGGCCGGAGUCUUGAGUCUUGUAUCUCCAAUAGUCCGGACGAUGUAUAUAGUCCGGCUGUCCAGAUACCCCCUAAUCCAGGACUCCCUCAGUAGCCCCUGAACCAGGCUUCAAUGACGAUGAGUCUGGCGUGCAGUUUUGUCUUCAGCAUUGCAAGGCGGGUUCCUUCUCCAAAUACUCCAAGGUAAUUAUCGAACACGUAGACCGUGUCCAUAUCUGCAAAAUGAUCUUCAUAUAUCACCGUAGAGAGAAUGAUAUUUCACAAAUGUACUCUGCUGACAACUUUUUAGACGUAACAUGUCAUUAUGGUCGGGUCAUUAUUCGAACCAUUUUCCUUCAACCAGCCACAUCGCAUAUUGCGAGGCGGUUUCCUUGACACGUCUUGUAAAAGCAGAGAUCGUGUCCCCUUAUCAUGGGAUUCUGAUCAAUACGGGUAUGGGUAAUCCCACCAUGCCAUCAGUCGUGGCACUUGGGAGGUAAGCGAUUCCCAACGGGCAAGUGGGGAGGCACACCGCUUCCGUCGCCUUUAUAAAGGGAUAAGAGUUCCCCAUUUUUACCCAUGCCUUCUUCCUCCUUUGCCCACUCUUGCCCCCUCGAGCUCCAGCGCCCUAGCCCAUGUCUUCUCCGCAUAGCUAAACAUGUCCGGAGCAGGAGGCAAGUGGGUGGCUUCCACCGUGAAGGAGAAGGAUAUCGCGAAUCUUCAGGCGGCCGGAUACUUGGCCGCAGACAUAGCGCACUGGCUACCAGAAGACGGGCAGGUCACUCCAACUCCAGGACCCCACGAGAGGGUCGUGUUUCUCGCCCACUUCAUCCAUGGACUGGGGUUUCCACUUCACCCCUUCGUCCGCGGGCUCAUGUUCUACUAUGGGCUAGAUUUCCAUGAUCUAGCCCCGAAUUUCGUCCUCAACAUCUCGGCGUUCAUUGUCGUAUGCGAGGCCUUCCUCCGCAUCAAGCCUCACUUCGGCUUGUGGCUGCAAAUCUUCUGUGUGAAGCCGAAGAUCGUGAGCAGCCAGCAAGCAGAGUGUGGAGGUGCCAUGGUGGGCAAGAUGCCUAACGUCACCUGGCUUGACGGUUCCUUUGCGGAAACCGUGAAGGGGUGGCAGUCGGGGUGGUUCUACAUCACCGAGCCGCGCGGUGCCAACUGGGCAGAGGCCCCCGAGUUCCGAUCUGGAACCCCCAUGCGGCUCACCUCCUGGGAAAAGAAGAGUCUGUCCUGGGGCGAAUCUACAGAGCUGACCGGACUCCAAAACUGCAUCAAGAGCAUGAAGGACAAGAACAUCAAGCUUGUCAACGUGAUCCAGGUCAUGCUCGUUUGCCGGAUUCUGUCGUGCCAAAGGCGGGAAUUCAAUCUGUGGGAGUUCAUCCUGACCGAACACCAGACGCUUCAGAGGCUCUACAGCAUGAAGCAUAAAGACGCGUGGAAGGCGUUGUUCAAGGCCUCCGAAGUACUUCCUCCUACAUCCGAGGACCGUGGGCUCCAUGCCGCGCGGCCUCCUAGUCAGGUGAGUUUUCAGGAUACCACCGGAUUCGGUUCUUCCCAAUAUAUUCAUGGGGGAGCCUUAAGUAAUUGUGCAUAUUUGUUCAGGAUUAUGUGGAGACAGCGGAGCAGAUUGACUGUCCGGCUCCGCUGCCAGAAAGUCCAGAUGAUGCUCUCCUGACGGAGAUGCUGGUCCCGGCGCCCUACAAGGUGCCGGAGAAGAAGGCCGAUAAGAAGGCCCCGGGGAUCUGAAAGGGUCUCCGACAUAAGAUUGCGCCAGAAACCUCGUCCGAAGGCGACGAGGCACACUCCUCCCCCGAAGGGGAGGAAGAAGAAGAAGGGACCACCCCACCCGGAGAGGGUGAGGGGCCCGAGAAGACGGAUCAGGGGGCCGAGAAAGGCCCUCGGUGCAAGGCCGUCAUACCCACGUCGUCUGAUGACGACGAGACAGAUUCCUCCCGCAGAGGCGGGGGAAACAAGAAGAAACUCUACCUCCCCGCACUGGGGAGGAGAAAAAGAGGAAAGCCGCUCCGGAAGGGGAGGCUGGGUCGUCCAAGAAGGGGAAGGUGUCCCUUCUAGACUACUCCGCCACGGCCGCCCAUAGCGAGGAGGGGUGGCUGCCAGGGGGAAGCCCCUAGCGCGAUCAUAAGUAUCCGCACUCUGUAAUGACUUUACUUCACAGUCUUUUUAUAACGCCGAACAUAUAAGUAGUCCGGCCAGGGUUCAUCCCGAGGUAUCUUCUUCGGAUGGAUCCCUGAGCGAUUCAGAGAUGAACUCGCUCCCGACGGUUACCACUCCUCAACCCGCGGACGACAUGGAGGUGUUGUCCCAAAGGCUCCCAGAGCGGGGGGGGGUGAUUCUAGAGACACCCCAAGGCGAAAUUCCAGAUGUCGGACACGCGGGGUUCAAGAUCCCCGCAGAUCGUGUCAGUGAGAUCUACAGUAGGCCGGGCUCUCAACCGAACACUGUUCCAGAGCCUUCAAUGGUUCCGGAUUUAGGCGGGCAGCCCCUCGUUAGGGAGGGAGAGCCGUCUGUGUCGAGGACUUCCGUUGCACCCGAGGGGCCGGAUUGUCUGCUGGAAGCACUUCGCGGCGCUUCCAUGGAUGAAGAGCACCAUACUCUUAUGAGUGCGGUGAUUCAGAAGGUUUCGUCCGCCUAGAGCGGACUAACUGAAGCUUGCACCAGCCUCCUGACAGGCUUUGAGGUAAGUAAUAAAAAUGUGUGAAAUUACCACCCGAUAGGUAGUAGCCCCUGAUACUCUGUUUGGUGUUCGGAAGGAAAAACCAAACGGAGGGUCAAUUAUAAUCCGCAGGAGUCUAAUAAUAAGUGUGAAUGUGAAUAAGCAGGCUGUGCUGCUUGCUGCUGCUGUCCGCACAGCUGAGAUAGCCGGACUAAAACGAGAUCUGGAGCAGGCUCAGGGAGAGGUCGACCUCACGAAGAGGCAACUCGAAGAGAGCAAAGGUGAGUGAUUCCCCGCUCUCACAUAAUGAAGAGUAUAUAAAAUUGGUUAUUCUAACAAUGAAACGUCGUGAUUUUGUAACAGGGGCCACCACCGAAGUGGCCUCUCUGAAGAAAGCGCUGUCCGAGGCCGACGACAAGGCGUCCUUGGAACGCACAAAGCGCGAGAAGCAAGAUGCCCGAGUGGGCGAGGUACAACAAGAGCUCCAGGAGCUCGGGAAAAAGUUCGAGUCCGUGGAGCAUGAGCUUAAGGCAAAAGAGGCCGAGCUUGCGAAGGCCCUUGCAAGUAUAAAAGACGCCAAGGCCGAAGCCGAGAAGGCACAGCAGGAAAUCCAGCAGGCCAAAAAGAUAGUGGCGGGUAAGAAAUUCUUUAUGCAAAGCAAACAUGUGGAGGAGGCGUUUCUUUUACUUACCCGAGUUCGGAGCUCUCCAGGGGCAUUCGCAGAUCUGCCACGCAGCGUAUCAGAUGCCGCGGAGUUCUACCGUGCCCAGGAGGGGAGCUCAACGGAGAAGCUGUUCUGGUCCCAGUAUGCUGGGGCCGAACAUUCAAUGCCUCUGAGUGACCAACUGAAGCAGUUGGUCGAACUCCACAGGGAGUCGAAGCGGCUAUGAAAGAUUUCAUAGUCCGGAUGUGCCUGGUGAGCCCCUGCCGGCUAGCUACUUCAACUUGAUCAAGCGGAUGGUGAAUCCUUGUCCGCGGCUCGAAGUCAUCAAGCGGUCCGUUUGCAUUGAGGGUGCCCGCCGGGCCUUUUCCCGCGCGAAGGUGCAUUUGGGCAAGCUGGAUGCGGAGAAGCUGGUGAAGGACGGGCCACCGGAGGGAAAGGCGCAUUGCUAUCCGGAGAAGUAUUAUGAUGGCCUUAUGAAGGGCGCUCGCCUCGUGGCUGAAGAAUGUACUAAGGACAUAAUUUUAGAAUGAAUUCACUUCUGUCAUGUUUAUAAUUUAAGGACGAAGUUACUUGUGCUAUGUAGCGCUUUUGUUAUUUAAAAUAUUACUUUUGUGCGACUGUUUAUAAAAUUCUGAAAGUAGGCUAGUUGUCGGCUUCCGCCCCCACGUAACUAGUACUGGGGUGUUCGUGGAAAACCCAGACACUCUUUAUCCAAAUAUUUGGUCCCUUAAGGAGGUGUCUAGCGCAGCGAACAAGGCAAUCGGACUAUGCGGCUUUAUAACUUUCACUUAGCCAUAGAAGUCUACAAUUUAAAUUUCAGUGAAGCCCCUAGAAUCCGGAAGGCCGAAUUGGGGCGCUAUAUACGCCUAGAUCGGACGAAACCGAUUUAUCGCCUAAAGCGGAAAAAUCUUUAAGGAUUUUAAGACCUCUCGAACAGCGACCAGCUCUCGCUACAUCAUGCCAGUUAGUUUUCGGCUUUAUCUACUAAGGUGCUUGUCUGGAAGAACCAGGACACAAUCGCAGUAGUUCUCCCUGCGCUACCUUAGCCAAUAUAACGGAACGUAAGGUACCAAAACAAGGGAGCCGGGCUAACCCAACUGUAGACCCAAGACAUGAUUCGGAGCUGAUGCAUAUAGUGCUAUAAGUUUGGGGUGCCACACUGUUGAAAGUGUUCGGACUUGUCUUGCCGUAUUAUGGGGCACCAUACGAAGCCCCUGGCAAACUGAACGUACCAAGGUGUACGGAUGCAAUAUCAAAUAAACGUUUGUAAGAAAAAAUGCUCAAAUAAGAAUAAUAAGCUGACGCUAUAUAUGAUCUCCCAUUGAUGAAUAAUACGUUUAAGUGUAUGUUUACAAUGAAUGCAUUAAGCGGAGAUAAAUAUGACUAUUUGACAUAUCCUAUCUAGGGGCAAGCCACUUACACAUAGAUAAAACAGGUAUAACAAUCAUAAAUAGUUUCCACCUGGGUAUUUCCUUCUGUGCGCAAAGCCUGUUGCCUCCUUAGUUUUCUCUCCUAUGUAAGUCCGACAAUCCGGCUCUUUUGAAGAGGCUGCACUAAAGCAAUGUCCUGAAAGGUCAAAGGAAAGGUUAUGAAGGUAUGUUGCGGUGAUACUGCACUGUUGACUGAGCCACUGCUGCGCCUCCGCCUGUGCCCAUGGUAUUUUGAGUGCGUAAUUGUGUACGCGUGGCACGAAUGCUGCUUUAAUGGGAUUUGAGCGGAGGCCGGACUGGUAGUCGCGCUCUUGGCGUGCCUGGUGAUCCUAUUGCGGGGUGCUCCGGACUCGCUUGACGGUGCUUGAGGUUGUCGUUGCCGGAUUGGUGGUUUGCCGGAGGAGGCUGCAUUAUACUUCUACCGCGAGGGCUGCAGUAUGCUCUUCUGUACGGAGAGAGCGGUCCAUGUUUCCGUUGACUGUUAUGACCCCGCGUGGGCCUGGCAUCUUGAGCUUAAUGUAUGCAUAGUGUGGUACCGCAUUGAAUCUAGCGAAUGCGGUUCGUCCGAGCAGUGCGUGGUAACCACUACGGAAAGGGACGAUAUCGAAGAUUAACUCUUCGCUUCGGAAGUUGUCCGGAGAUCCGAAGACCACUUCCAAUGUUGUGGAGCCUAUACAACGGGCCUCUACUCCAGGAAUUACACCUUUAAAGGUGGUUUUGGUGGGCUUGAUCCUUGAAGGGUCGAUGCCCAUUUUAUGCACUGUGUCCUGGUAAAGCAGGUUCAGGCUGCUGCCGCUGUCCAUAAGGUCUCGCGUGAGGUGGAAUCCGUCAAUGAUUGGGUCUAAGACUAAUGCGGCUGAGCCGCCGUGAUGGAUGCUAGUAGGAUGAUCCCUACGAUCAAAGGUGAUCGGACAAGCUGACCAUGGGUUGAAUUUGGGGACGACUGGCUCCAUCGCGUAGACGUCCCGCAGUGCUCGCUUCCGUUCCUGCUUGGGUAUGUGAGUGGCAUUGAUCAUGUUGACCGUUUUCACCUGGGGGGGAAAUUUCUUCUGUCCCCCCCCCCUCCCCCGUGUUCGGACGCCGGGACUCCUCGUCAUCAUCGCUGUGCAGCCCCUUGUCCUUAUUUUCGGUGUUUAUUUUGCCGGCCUAUUUAAAUACCCAGCAGUCUCUGUUGGUGUGGUUGGCUGGCUUGUCCGGGGUGCCAUAAAUUUGGCACGAGCGCUCUAGUAUACGGUCCAGACUGGACGGUCCCUGAUUGUUUCUUUUGAACGGCUUCUUCCGCUGACCGGACUUGGAUCCGCUCAAUCCGGCGUUUACUGCCGUGUCUUCAGUGUUGUCGCUGUUGUUCCGUCGCUUAUGUCUGUUGCGUCGUGGCUUGCCGUUAUUGCUGCGGACAUCCAAAGUGUCGGAAUGUGGCGUGGUGCUGCUGCGAGCCAACUAGCUAUCCUCGCCCGCGCAAAAGCGGGCCAUUAGUGUUGUGAGGGCUGCCAUGGACUUGGGUUUUUCCGGGCCGAGGUGUCGAGCGAGCCACUCGUCACGGAUAUUAUGCUUAAAAGCCGCCAGGGCUUCGGCGUCCGAACAGUCAACUAUUUGGUUCUUUUUAGUUAGGAACCGGAUCCAGAACUUCCUGGCUGACUCUCCAGGCUGUUGAGUAAUGUGGCUCAAAUCAUCUGCGUCCGGUGGUCGCACAUAUGUGCCCUGGAAGUUGUCGAGGAAUGUGUCUUCCAGGUAUUCCCAACUGCCAAUGGAAUUUGCUGGCAGGCUAUUUAGCCAGUGCCGGGCUGGUCCUUUGAGCUUAAGGGGAAGAUACUUGAUGGCGUGUAGAUCAUCUCCGCGGGCCAUGUGAAUGUGGAGAAGGAAAUCUUCAAUCCAUACUGCGGGGUCUGUUGUGCCAUCGUAUGAUUUGAUGUUUACGGGUUUGAACCCUUCUGGGAAUUUAUGAUCCAUCACUUCGUCAGUGAAGCAGAGGGGGUGUAUUGCGCUUCUGUGCCGGGCUAUGUGGCUACACAGUUCGAAUUGGUCUGGGUUGCUGUAUUUGGCCCGGCUGGACUUGUUAAUAAUGUGUCCGGCAUGACGGUCAUCAUCGCGCGCUGGUGCGCGCCCCCGCGAUCCGUAGAUCAAUCUUGGCUGUCCUGCUUUGUUUUCCAGUAUGUCUUGCAGGUCUUGCCUAUUGCCCCGGGCCGUAGUGUAUUGGCGUGGGGGUGCGGGCUGGUAUUCGAGCUGAUAUCGCGUUUUAUCCCGGCCACGGGGUGGCCGGUCAGCCAUUUGGCGCUCGAGUCCGUAUUCCUCGGCUGCCAGGACUUCAGUCCAUCUAUUUGUGAGAAGGUCUUGAUCAGCCUGGAGUUGCUGUUGCUUCUUCUUCAGGCUCCUCGUGGUGGCAAGAAGCCGGCGCUUGAAGCACUCCUGCUCCACGGGAUCCUCGGGUAUGCCGAACUCGUCAUCGCCGAGGCUAAUCUCGUCUUCGAAGGGGGGCAUAUAAUUGUCCUCCUCCGGAUACCCGUUGGUUACCCGUUCGUCUGGGCUGACCUGCUCAUCUUCCUGUUCGGCCUGCUCGAAGAUGGGCUGGUCAGGGUUGUAUUCCUCUUUGGCACCAUCCGGAUUGCUUUCAUCUCCGGGGCCGGUAUUGCUGUGGCGGGGCUUGGAGCGGCGCCGACGACGCCCAUGCUUUGCUUUUCUCCCUGAGGGGUUAUCCUCCGUUGCCUCGUCGCCAUUGGUUUCCUUCGGAGUGUCCACCAUACAUAUAUCGUAUGAAGAGUUGGCUGUCCACCGCCCUGUGAGCGGUGGCUCCUGUACUUCUCCUGCAUCAUCGUCCAUACCGUUGAUGUCUUCGGAGUCGAAGUCAAGCACGUCGGUUAAAUCAUUGACUAUGGCAAUGAAGUGGGUGGUGGGUGGGCAGCGAAUUCCUUCGUCGCCUUCUUCCCACUCAAGCCGGACAUAGUUCGGCUCCGAGCCUCCUGCCAAAGAGAGAGACUUUAAUGAGUUCAGCAUGUCGCCAAAGGGCGAGUGUUGGAAGAUAUCUGUAGCGGGAAACUCCUUUACCGGAGCCCAACCUGUCUCGACUGGCUCGAGGGUGUGCGGACCGGAACCAACAGCCGGAUACGAGUCCGGGGGUCCGGAGUUACAGGCUUCCUUAGAAGUGAGGCCUGUGUUCGGCUCUAUCACCGAUGAGUGUGCAGCCUGUAGGGCGGGGCCCAUCCCUCCGUCCUUAGGUGACGCAGCCUGCUCCGGAUUUAGGUUCGGGGCUAUUGCAGCGGUGAUAUUCCGAACAUUGUCUGACAGCAGGUCUAGGCCGUGCUCAUCGCGACUGUCCGGUGUUCCUGGCACAGGCCCGAAUCCGUCAAAGAUCAAGUCUCCACGAAUAUCCGCCAUGUAGUUCAAGUUUUCGAACCUGACCUGGUGGCCAGGAGCAUAGCUAUCGAUCUGCUCCAGAUGACCAAGCGAAUUGGCCUGCAGUGCAAAGCCGCCGAACACGAAGAUCUAUCCGGGGAGAAAAGUCUCCCCCUGGACCGUGUUGCUGACAAUUGAAGGUGCCAUCAAGCCUUGCAGCAACGACAUAGAGGAACUCUCAAUGAAAGCACCAAUGUCGGUGUCAAAACCGGUGGAUCUCGGGUAGGGGGUCCCAAUCUAUGCGUCUUAGGCUGAUGGUAACAGGAAGCAAGGGACACAAUGUUUACCCAGGUUCGGGCCCUCUCGAUGGUAAAACCCUACUUCCUGCUUGAUUAAUAUUGAAGAUAUGAGUAGUACAAGAGUAGAUAUACCACGAGAUCGUAGAGGCUAAACCCUAGGAUCUAGCCUAUGAUGGUAUGAUUGUAGUUGUGAUCGGCCUUCUAAGGACCAACCUCUCCGGUUUAUAUAGACACCGGAGAGGGCUAGGGUUUACAUGGAGUCGGUUACAAGGAAGGAAAUACAAUAUCCGGAUCGCCAAGCUUGUCUUCCAUGCAAAGGAGAGUCCCAUCCGGACACGGGCCGGAGUCUUGAGUCUUGUAUCUUCACGCUCCAAUAGUUUGGACGAUGUAUAUAGUCCGGCUGUCCGGAUACCCCCUAAUCUAGGACUCCCUCACCCAUGGCCUCGCGCUGUUUAACUUGUUCGCUACCACUGGGCUAGAGAGGGAUUGCUGUCCAUCUAGCGGAAUGAAUUUGUAUAUUAUAAAACAAUGGUUGUGUCUUGCCAAAUCUAAGUCAUUGACAAGUGGGACCUAUUCCCAUGAUCGGACAGAGCCAACACUUAGCCAAAAAUUUCUAGGUCUUCCGACCAGGUGGCAGCGGGCCGCGGGCAGGGGCGUGGCCGUCGGACGAGGGCGGGGCCGAUGGUCGAAGCGACUAGUAGGGGCGGGGGUGACCUACGGUGGUGGGGGCGGGGGCAGGAACGACAACCUCACCGCAGGUGACCUCGCCCAUGGCGGGCGGGGCCAGCAGCGGAAGAAACCGGUGGGGCGGAGGCGGGGCUGGCUGCCGAAGCGACCAACAGGGGCGUGGGUGACCCGCGGUGGUGGGGGCGGGCGCCAGAAUGGCCCACACGCAAGGAGAGGCUUGCCGAGCAUGGAGGAAUCGCCGCCACCGCAAGCACACCUCCAGGUAUGCACCUCUCUCCUUUCCCCCCCUCUCCUCUCUCACUAUCUGCACCUAGUCGCCGAGCAUAGAUGAAUUUCAGUCAGAUGUUCUUCAGCAUAGAUGAAUUUUGUUGAUGCACUGUUAGGAGUUAGGACAUAGCUUGCUUGUUUGGUAGAUAUUGCAUAGAUGAAUUUUCUUGAUGUACUGUUAGGAGUUCUUGAUACGUCUCCAACGUAUCUAUAAUUUUUGAUUGCUCCAUGCUAGUUUAUCUACUGUUUUGGACUAUAUUGGGCUUUAUUUUUCACUUUUAUAUUAUUUUUGGGACUAACCUAUUAACCGGAGGCCCAGCCCAGAAUUGCUGUUUUUUGCCUUUUUCAGUAUUUCGAAGAAACAGAAUAUCAAACGGAGUCCAAACGGAAUGAAACCUUCGGGAACGUGAUUUUUUCAUCAGAUAAGAUCCAGGAGACUUGGACCCUCUGUGAAGAAAGCCACGAGGCAGUCACGAGGGUGGAGGGCGCGCCCCUCCGCCCUGGGCGCGCCCCCCUACCUCGUGGGCCCCUUGAAGCUCCACCGACGUACUCCUUCCUCCUAUAUAUACCUACGUACCCCCAAACGAUCAAAGGAGGAGCAAAAAACCUAAUUCCACCGCCGCAACCUUUUGUAUCCACGAGAUCCCAUCUUGGGGCCUGUUCCGGAGCUCCGCCGGAGGGGGCAUCCACCACAGAGGGCUUCUACAUCAUCACCAUGGCCCCUCCGAUGAAGUGUGAGUAGUUUACUUCAGACCUUCGGGUCCAUAGCUAGUAGCUAGAUGGCUUCUUCUCUCUUUUUGGAUCUCAAUACAAUGUUCUCCCCCUCUCUUGUGGAGAUCUAUUCGAUGUAAUCUUAUUUUUGCGGUGUGUUUGUUGAGACCGAUGAAUUGUGGGUUUAUGAUCCAGUAUUAUCUAUGGAAAAUAUUUGAUUCUUCUCUGAAUUCUUUUAUGUAUGAUUGAGUUAUCUUUGCAAGUCUCUUCGAAUUAUCCAUUUGGUUUGGCCAACUAGAUUGGUAGUUCUUGCAAUGGGAGAAGUGCAUGGCUUUGGGUUCAAUCUUGCGGUGUCCUUACUCAGUGACAGAAAGAGUUGCAAGGCACGUAUUGUAUUGUUUCCAUCGAGGAUAACAAGAUGGGGGUUUUAUCAUAUUGCAUGAAUUUAUCCCUCUACAUCAUGUCAUCUUGCUUAAGGCGUUACUCUGUUUUUACUUAAUACUCUAGAUGCAUGCUGGAUAGCGGUCGAUGAGUGGAGUAAUAGUAGUAGAUGCAGAAUCGUUUCAAUCUACUUGUCUUGGACGUGAUGCCUAUAUACAUGAUCAUCGCCUAGAUAUACUCAUAACUAAGCUCAAUUCUGUCAAUUGCUCAACAGUAAUUUGUUCACGCACUGUAGAAUACUUAUGCUCUUGAGAGAAGCCACUAGUGAAACCUAUGCCCCCCGGGUCUAUUCUCAUCAUAUCAAUCUAAAUCACUUUAUUUACUUGCUUUGUUUUUACUUUACCUUUAGUUUUUACUAUGCAUCUAUCUAUCAAAAAUACCAAAAAUAUUAUCUCUAUCAGAUCUCACUCUCGUAAGUGACCGUGAAGGGAUUGACAACCCCUAAGCGUUGGUUGCGAGUUGCUAUCGUGUUGUGCAGGUACGAGGGACUUGCGCGUGACCUCCUACUGGAUUGAUACCUUGGUUCUCAAAAACUGAGGGAAAUACUUACGCUACUGUGGUGCAUCAUCCUCUCCUCUUUGGGGAAAACCAAUGCAAGCUCGAGACAUCGCAAGAAGAAUUUCUGGCGCCGUUGCCGGGGAGGCUUACGCAAAAGUCAACAUACCAAGUACCCAUCACAAUCCCUAUCUCUCGCAUUACAUUAUUUGCCAUUUGCCUCUCGUUUUCCUCUCCCCCACUUCACCCUUGCCGUUUUAUUUGGCCUCUCUUUCCCAAUCUCCUCCUCUCUUUCCGUUUGCCUUUUCCCUUUGCCUUUUGUUUGCUCGUGUGUUGGAUUAGAUGCUUAUUUAUUCCUAAACAAAGAAGCCAAUAUCUAUGGAUCCUGAUCCGCUUGCCAAUCUUUUUAAGAGAUCCAAUUAUGAUGAACCAAUUCCUAGUGAUUUGGAUGCACUAGAUUAUCUUUAUAAGGUUUUGCCUAAAAUCCGUGAAGUGACUCACGAUAGAUCUUUGAAUAAAAAGCAUGAUUGCAAUGAUUUUAUUAUAAAUUCUUUUGAUGUCAAUUGUGCUAAUAAGAUGCAAAACCCUAAGCUUGGGGAUGCUAGUUUUGCUAUGUCUACUACUUGUUGCAAUGAUCAUGAUUGGGGUGAUUCUUCUUAUGAUCUUGAAAAUUUAUUUAAGCCCCAUGAUGAAUAUGAGAUUGAUAAUAGUGUUUGCAAUAAUAUUGAAAGUGUGUUUGGAAGAGUGUCAACUUUAGAUCCCACAUAUUUGGAGUAUGUUCAAUCUUAUGAUAUUUUUGAUAAAAGUGGGUUCGAAAAGGUCAUGACUUUAAUUAAUGUUAAUCCCACUAUUUUGGAAGAGUGUCAACUUUGCAUGCAUGGGGAUCGUGUUGAGAAUAUACUUUGUGGUAGCUAUUUUGUUGAAUUUUCUUAUGAUCCCGCAUGUAAUUAUUAUGAGAGAGGAAAAUAUGGUUAUAGAAAUUUUCAUGUUACUAAAUUACCUCUCGUUAUGUUGAGAUUGCUAUUGUUCCUUUCCGCUUCCUUGCAUAUGCUAGUUUUUGCUUGCCUUUAUAAUUUGUUUGCCUAUAAGAUGCCUAUGCAUAGGAAGUAUGUUAGACUUAAGUGUGUUUGUCACAUGUUUUAUGAUGCUCUCUUUGUGCCUCAAUUCUUGUCUUUCUUGUGAGCAUCAUUGAAAUCUCAAUGCCUAGCUAAAAAGGUUUUAAAGAAAAGCGCUUGUUGGGAGGCAACCCAAUAUUUAUCCUUGCUGGUUAGCAAUAAAUAAUCCAUCUACCUUCUGUUUGGAUGUGGUUUUAUGUUUUAAUUAGUGUUUGUGCCAAGUAGAACCUACAGGAUAAGCUAUGAUGAUAGUUGAUUUGAUUCUGCUGAAAAACAGAAACUUUGCGCUCACGAGAAAAACAUCAAUAAAUCACAGGAACGUGAUUUUGCAUUGAUUCUUUUUGCUGCUGAUCAACAAAAAAAUUGUCCAGUACUUCCUAUUUUGGUUGGAAUUUUUAGAGUUCCAGAAGUUUGCGUUAGUUACAGAUUACUACAGACUGUUCUGUUUUUGACAGAUUCUGUUUUUUCGUGUGUUGUUUGCUUAUUUUGAUGAAUCUAUGGCUAGUAAAUUAGUUUAUAAACCAUAGAGAAGUUGGAAUACAGUAGGUUUAACACCAAUAUAAAUAAAGAAUGAGUUCAUUACAGUACCUUGAAAUAGUCUUUUGUUUUCUUUCUCUAACGGAGUUCACGAGAUUUCUGUUGAGUUUUGUGUUGUGAAGUUUUCAAGUUUUGGGUGAAUUCUUUUGAUGGAUUAUGGAACAAGGAGUGGCAAGAGCCUAAGAUAAUCCAAGGACACCAAAAAGUCAAAGCUUGGGGAUGCCCCAGAAGGCAUCCCCUCUUUCGUCCACUUCCAUCGGUAAUUUACUUGGAGCUAUAUUUUUAUUCACCAAUAUGAUAUGUGUUUUGCUUGGAGCGUCUUGUAUUAUUUGUGUCUUUGCUUGUUAGUCUACCACAAUCAUCCUUGCUGUACACACCUUUUGAGAGAGCCAUUAAUGAAUUGAAAUUUGUUAGAAUACUCUAUGUGCUUCACUUAUAUCUUUUGAGCUUGAUAGUUUUGCUCAUAUUGCUUCACUUAUAUUCUUUUGAGCGUGAUAAUUUUUGCUCUAGUGCUUCAGUUAGAUCUUUUUGAGCACGGUGGUGGAUUUGUUUUAAAGAAACUUGAUCUCUCAUGCUUCACUUAGAUUAUUUUGAGAGUCAUUAAUAGCAUGGUAAUUUGCUUAAUGUUAAUAUACUUGGUAUUCAAGAUGUGUGAAACUUUUCUUUUUGAGUGCGUUGAAUACUAAGAUAAGUUUGAUGCUUGAUAAUUGUUUUGAGAUAUGGAGGUGAUAAUAUCAAAGUCAUGCUAGUUGGGUGAUUAUGAAUUCAAAGAAUGCUUGUGUUGAAGUUAGCAAAUCCCGUAGCAUGCACGUAUGGUUAAAGUUAUGUAACAAAUUUGAAACAUGAAGUGUACCUGGCUUGUGCAUCCUUAUGAGUGGCGGUCGGGGACGAGGGAUGGUCUUUUCGUACCAAUCUAUCCCCCUAGGAGCAUGUGCAUAGUAUUUGAAUUUUUGAUGACUUCUAAAUUUUUGCAAUAAGUAUAUGAGUUCUUUUGACUAAUGUUGAGUCCAUGGAUUAUGCGCACUCUCACCUUUCCGCCUUUGCUAGCCUCUUCGGUACCGUGCAUUGCCCUUUCUCACCUUGAGAGUUGGUGCAAACUUCGCCGGUGCAUCCAAACCCCAUGAUACGAUACGCUCUAUCACACAUAAACCUCCUUAUAUCUUCCUCAAAACAGCUACCAUACCUACCUAUCAUGGCAUUUCCAUAGCCAUUCCGAGAUAUAUUGCCAUGCAACUUCCACCAUCAUCAUCGUGACAUGCAUUACUUUUGUCAUAUUGCCAUUGCAUGAUCUUGUAGUUGACAUCGUAUUUGUGGCAAAUCCACCAUGCAUUAUUUUCCAUACAUGUCACUCUUGAUUCAUCGCACCAUCCCGGUACACCGCCGGAGGCAUACAUAUAGAGUCAUAUCUUGUUCUAGUUUCGAGUUGUAAUUCAUAUGUUGUAAUGAAAGUGUGAUGAUCAUCAUUAUUAGAGCAUUGCCCAAAUAAAAAAAAGAAAGGCAACAAAAAAGGAAAGGCCCCAAAAAAAGAAAGGCCCAAAAAAGGGGGCAAUGCUACUAUCUCUUUUUCCACACUUGUGCUUCACAGUAGCACCUUGUUCUUCAUGUAGUGAGUCUCAUAUAUUGUGCUCCAAAGUAGCACCUUGUUCUUCAUGUAGUGAGUCUCAUAAGUUGUCUUUUUAUACUAGUGGGAAUUUUUCAUUAUAGAACUUGGCUUGUAUAUUCCUACGAUGGGCUUCCUCAAAUGCCCUAGGUCUUCGUGAGCAAGCAAGUUGGAUGCACACCCACUAGUUUUCUUUUGUUGAGCAUUCAUAGCUCUAGUGCAUCCGUUGCAUGGCAAUCCCUACUCGCUCACAUCGACAUCUAUUGAUGGGCAUCUCCAUAGCCCAUUGAUACACCUAGUUGAUAUGAGACCUUCUCCUUUUUUGUCUUCUCCACACAAUCCCCAUCAUCAUAUUCUAUUCCACCCAUAGUGCUAUAUCCAUGGCUCACGCUCAUGUAUUGCGUGAAGGUUGAAAAAGUUUGAGAUUAUUUAAGUAUGAAACAAUUGCUUGGCUUGUCAUCAGGGUUAUAGAAGUUGGGAACAUCUUUGUGUGACGAAAAUGAAGCAUGGCCUAACUAUAUGAUUUUGUAGGGAUGAACUUUAUUUUGCCAUGUUAUUUUGAGAAGACAUGAUUACUUUGAUUAGUAUGCUUGAAGUAUUAUUAUUUCUUUGUCAAUAUGAACUUUUGUCUUGAAUAUUUCGGAUCUAAAUAUUCAUAUCACAAUUAAGAAGUUUUACAUUGAAAUUAUGCCAAACUAUCACUCCGCAUCAAAAAUUCUUUUUUUUAUCAUUUAUCUACUCGAGGACGAGCAUGAAUUAAGCUUGGGGAUGCUUGAUACGUCUCCAACGUAUCUAUAAUUUUUGAUUGCUCCAUGCUACUUUAUCUACUGUUUUGGACUAUAUUAGGCUUUAUUUUCACUUUUAUAUUAUUUUUGGGACUAACCUAUUAACCGGAGGCCCAGCCCAGAAUUGUUGUUUUUUGCCUUUCUCAGUAUUUCGAAGAAACAGAAUAUCAAAUGGAGUCCAAACGGAAUGAAACCUUCGGGAACGUGAUUCUCUUAUCAGAUAAGAUCCAGGAGACUUGGAACCUCCGUCAAGAAAGCCACGAGGCGGUCACGAGGGUGGAGGGCGCGCCCCUCCCCCUGGGCGCGCCCCCUACCUCGUGGGCCCGUCGAAGCUCCACCGACGUACUCCUUCCUCCUAUAUAUACCUAUGUACCCCCAAACGACCAGAGGAGGAGCAAAAAACCUAAUUCCACCGCCGCAACCUUCUGUAUCCACGAGAUCCCAUCUUGGGGCCUGUUCCGGAGCUCCACCGGAGGGGGCAUCCACCACGGAGGGCUUCUACAUCAUCACCAUGGCCCCUCCGAUGAAGUGUGAGUAGUUUACUUCAGACCUUCGGGUCCAUAGCUAGUAGCUAGAUGGCUUCUUCUCUCUUCUUGGAUCUCAAUACAAUGUUCUCCCCCUAUCUUGUGGCGAUCUAUUUGAUGUAAUCUUCUUUUUGCGGUGUGUUUGUUGAGACCAAUGAAUUGUGGGUUUAUGAUCCAGUAUUAUCUAUGGAAAAUAUUUGAUUCUUCUCUGAAUUCUUUUAUGUAUGAUUGAGUUAUCUUUGCAAGUCUCUUCAAAUUAUCCGUUUGGCUUGGCGAACUAGAUUGGUAGUUCUUGCAAUGGGAGAAGUGCAUGGUUUUGGGUUCAAUCUUGCGGUGUCCUUACUCAGUGACAGAAAGAGUUGCAAGGCACGUAUUGUAUUGUUGCCAUCGAGGAUAACAAGAUGUUUUUUUUAUCAUAUUGCAUGAAUUUAUCCCUCUACAUCAUGUCAUCUUGCUUAAGGCAUUACUUUGUUUUUACUUAAUACUCUCGAUGCAUGCUGGAUAGUGGUCGAUGAGUGGAGUAAUAGUAGUAGAUGCAGAAUCAUUUUGAUCUACUUGUCUCGGACGUGAUGCCUAUAUACAUGAUCAUCGCCUAGGUAUACUCAUAACUAUGCUUAAUUCUGUCAAUUUCUCAUUAGUAAUUUGUUCACCCACUUUAGAAUACUUAUGCUCUUGACAGAAGCCACUAGUGAAACCUAUGGCCCCCGGGUCUAUUCUCAUCAUAUCAAUCUAUAUCACUUUAUUUACUUGCUUUGUUUUUACUUUACCUUUACUUCUUACUAUGCAUCUAUCUAUCAAAAAUACCAAAACUAUUAUCUCUAUCAGAUCUCACUCUCGUAAGUGACCGUGAAGGGAUUGACAACCCCUAAGCGUUGGUUGCGAGUUGCUAUCGUGUUGUGCAGGUACGAGGGACUUGCACGUGACCUCCUACUGGAUUGAUACCUUGGUUCUCAAAAACUGAGGGAAAUACUUAUGCUAGUGUGCUGCAUCAUCCUCUCCUCUUCGGGGAAAACCAACGCAAGCUCGAGACGUAGCAGUUCUUCAGCUUGUUUGUUAAGAAUUCUUCAGGCCUUGUUCGGUUAAGAAUUCUUCAGCUGGAUUGGAGUGGAAUGGAGGGGAUUUGGUGGGGAAUUUGAGCUAGAUGGGUUUUAAUCCCUGCCAAUACCUGUUAACCCCUCUCAUUUAUCAUGGAACCGAAUGAUACGUCUCCACCGUAUCUAUAAUUUUUGAUUACUCCAUGCUACUUUAUCUAUUGUGUUGGACUAUAUUGGGCUUUAUUUUCCACUUUUAUAUUAUUUUUGGGACUAACCUAUUAACCGGAAGCCCAGCCCAUAAUUGUUGUUUUUUGCCUUUUUUAGUAUUUCAAAGAAACGGAAUAUCAAACGGAAUGAAACCUUCGGGAACGUGAUUUUCUCACCGAACGUGAUCCAGGAGACUUGGACCCUACUCCAAGAAGCGCCAGAGGCGGUCACGAGGGUGGAGGGCGCGCCCCCCCUGGGCGCGCCCCCUACCACGUGGGCCCCUCGGAGCUCCACCGACGUACUCCUUCCUCCUAUAUAUACCUACGUAUCCCCAAACGAUCAGAACAGGAGCCAAAAACCUAAUUCCACUGCCGCAACCUUCUGUAUCCACGAGAUCCCAUCUUGGGGCCUGUUUCGGAGCUCCGCCGGAGGGGGCAUCUACCACGGAGGGCUUCUACAUCAUCACCAUAGCCCCUCCGAUGAAGUGUGAGUAGUUUACUUCAGACCUUCGGGUCCAUAGCUAGUAGCUAGAUGGCUUCUUCUCUCUUUUUGGAUCUCAAUACAAUGUUCUCCCCCUCUCUCGUGGAGAUCUAUUCGAUAUAAUCUUCUUUUUGCGGUGUGUUUGUUGAUGAAUUGUGGGUUUAUGAUCCAACUUAUCCAUGAAUAAUAUUUGAAUCUUUUCUGAAUUCUUUUAUGUAUGAUUGAGUUAUCUUUGCAAGUCUCUUCGAAUUAUCCUUUUGGUUUGGCCAACUAGAUUGGUAGUUCUUGCAAUGGGAGAAGUGCAUGGCUUUGGGUUCAAUCUUGCGGUGUCCUUACUCAGUGGCAGAAGGAGUUGCAAGGCACGUAUUGUAUUGUUGCCAUUGAGGAUAACAAGAUGGGGUAUUUAUCAUAUUGCAUGAAUUUAUUCAUCUACAUCAUGUCAUCUUGCUUAAGGCGUUACUCUGUUUUUAACUUAAUACUCUAGAUGCAUGCUGGAUAGCGGUCGAUGACUGGAGUAAUAGUAGUAGAUGCAGAAUCGUUUCGAUCUACUUGUCUCGGACGUGAUGCCUAUAUACAUGAUCAUACCUAGAUAACCUCAUAACUAUGCUCAAUUUUGUCAAUUGCUCAAUAGUAACUUGUUCACCCAUCGUAGAAUACAUAUGCUCUUGAGAGAAGCCACUAGUGAAACCUAUGGCCCCUGGGUCUAUUAUCAUCAUAUCAAUCUCCAUCACUUUAUUUACUUGCUUUUCUUUUACUUUUACUUUGUAUCUUUAUACCAAAAAUACCAAAAAUAUUAUCUCUAUCAGAUCUCACUCUCGUAAGUGACCGUGAAGGGAUUGACAACCCCUAAUCGCUUUGGUUGCGAGUAGCUAUUGUUUUGUGCAGGUACGAGGGACUUGCGCGUGACCUCCUACUGGAUUGAUACCUUGGUUCUCAAAAACUGAGGGAAAUACUUAUGCUACUGUGCUGCAUCAUCCUCUCCUCUUCGGGGAAAACCAACACAAGCUCGAGACGUAGCAAGACGGAUUUCUGGCGCCGUUGCCGGGGAGGCUUACGCAAAAGUCAACAUACCAAGUACCCAUCACAAUCCCUAUCUCUCGCAUUACAUUAUUUGCCAUUUGCCUCUCGUUUUCCUCUCCCCCACUUCACCCUUGCCGUUUUAUUCACCCUCUCUUUCCCAAUCUCCUCCUCUCUUUCCAUUGCCUUUUCCUCGUCCUUUUGUUUGCUUGUGUGUUAGUUUGCUUGCUUGUCGUGAUGGCUCAAGACGCUACCAAAUUGUGUGAUUUCACCAAUACCAAUAAUAAUGAUUUCCUUAGCACUCCGAUUGCUCCUCUUGCCAAUACUGAAUCUUGUGAAAUCAAUACUGCUUUGUUGAAUCUUGUUAUAAAAGAUCAAUUCGUCGGCCUUCCUAGUGAAGAUGCCGCUACUCAUCUGAAUAGCUUCGUUGAUUUAUGUGAUAUGCAAAAGAAAAAAGAUGUCGAUAAUGAUGUCGUUAAAUUGAAGCUAUUUCCUUUUUCGCUUAGAGAUCGUGCUAAAGCGUGGUUUUCAUCUUUGCCUAAAAAUAGUAUUGAUUCUUGGAACAAGUGCAAAGAUGCUUUUAUCUCUAAGUAUUUUCCUCCCGCUAAGAUUAUCUCCCUUAGGAACGAUAUUAUGAAUUUCAAGCAACUUGAUCAUGAACAUGUUGCACAAGCUUGGGAGAGAAUGAAAUUAAUGCUACGUAAUUGUCCUACUCAUGGUUUGAACUUGUGGAUGAUUAUACAAAAUUUUUAUGCUGGAUUGAAUUUUGCUUCUAGAAAUCUUUUAGAUUCGGCCGCGGGAGGCACUUUUAUGGAAAUCACUUUAGGAGAUGCUACUAAACUCCUAGAUAAUAUUAUGGUUAAUUAUUCUCAAUGGCAUACUGAAAGAUCUACUAAUAAAAAGGUGCAUGCUAUAGAAGAAAUCAAUGUUUUGAGUGAAAAUAUGGAUGAACUUAGGAAUUUAUUUGCUAAGAGUGUUUCUUCUGAUCCCAAUAAUAUACCUUUAUCUACUUUGCUUGAGAAUAAUAAUGAAUCUAUGGAUGUGAAUUAUAUUGGUAGGAAUAGUUUUGGUAACAACACGUAUAGAGGGAAUUUUAACUCUAGGCCUUAUCCUAGUAAUCCUUCUAAUAAUUAUGGAAAUUCCUACAACAACUCUUAUGGAAAUUUUAAUAAGAUGCCCUCUGAAUUUGAGAGUAGUGUUAAAGAGUUUAUGAAUUCACAAAAGAAUUUUAAUGCUUUGCUUGAAGAGAAAUUGCUUAAAGUUGAUGAUUUGGCUAGGAACGUUGAUAGAAUUUCUCUUGAGAUUGAUUCUUUAAAGCUUAGAUCUAUUCCUCCUAAGCAUGAUAUCAAUGAGUCUCUCAAAGCCAUGAGAAUUUCCAUUGAUGAGUGCAAGGGAAGAACCACUAGGAUGCGUGCUUCCAAAGAUGCCUUUAUUAAAGCGUGUUCUUCUAAUUCUUAUGGAAAUCAAGAUGAAGAUCUAAAAGUUAUUGAUGUGUCCCCUAUCAAAUCUUUGUUUUGCAAUAUGAAUCUUGAUGAAUCUGAAGAUUAUCUUCCUUUACCUAGAAGGCGUUAUAAGAAUUCGGAGUUUCUAGAUCUUGAUGAUGAAAUUGAUGAAAGUGGGAUUGAAAUAAAUAAAAACCAUGAUGUUGCUAAACCCACUAUUUUGGAUCUCAAGGAAUUUAAUUAUGAAAAUUGCUCUUUGAUUGGUUGUAUUUCCUUGUUGCAAUCCAUGCUAGAAUCUCCUCAUGCUUAUAGUCAAAAUAAGGCCUUUACCGAACACAUUGUUGAUGCCUUGAUGCAAUCUUAUGAAGAAAAGCUUGAGUUGAUAAUUUCUAUCCCUAGAAAACUCUAUGAUGAGUGGGAACCUACUAUCAAAAUUAAAAUUAAAAAUUAUGAGUUCCAUCCUUUGUGUGAUUUGGGUGCUAGUGUCUCUACUAUUCCCAAAACUUUGUGCGAUUUGCUAGAUUUCCGUGACUUUGAUGAUUGCUCUCUCAACUUGCAUCUUGCGGAUUCCACUAUUAAAAAACCUAUGGGAAGAAUUAAUGAUGUUCUUAUUGUUGCAAAUAGGAAUUAUGUGCCCGUAGAUUUUAUCGUUCUUGAUAUAGAUUGCAAUCCUUCAUGUCCUAUUAUUCUUGGUAGACCUUUCCUUAGAACGAUUGGUGCAAUUAUUGAUAUGAAGGACGGGAAUAUUAGAUUCAAAUUUCCCUUAAAGAAGGGCAUGGAACACUUCCCUAGAAAGAAAAUAAAAUUACUAUAUGAAUCUAUCAUGAGAACCACUUAUGGAUUGCCUACCAAAGAUGGCAACACCUAGAUCUAUCCUUGCUUUUAUGCCUAGCUAGGGGCGUUAAACGAUAGCGCUUGUCGGGAGGCAACCCAAUUUUAUUUUGUGUUUUUUGUUUAGCUUCUGUUUAGUAAUAAAUAAUCCAUCUACCUUCUGUUUGGAUGUGGUUUUAUGUUUUAAUUAGUGUUUGUGCCAAGUAGGACCUAUAGGAUAACCUACAAUGAUAGUUGAUUUGAUUCUGCUGAAAAACAGAAACUUUGCACGCACGAAUAUAAUUAUGAUAAAUUACAGGAACGUGCUUUUGCGUUGAUUCUUUUUGCUUCUGAUCAAUAAACAAAUUUUCCAGAACUUCCUAUUUUGGUAGAAUUUUUAGAGUUCCAGAAGUUUGCGUUAGUUACAGAUUGCUACAGACUGUUCUGUUUUUCACAGAUUCUGUUUUUCAUGUGUUGUUUGCUUGUUUUGAUGAAUCUCUGGCUAGUAAAUUAGCUUAUAAACCAUAGAGAAGUUGUAAUACAGUAGGUUUAACACCAUUAUAAAUAAAGAAUGAGUUCAUUACAGUACGUUGAAGUAGUCUUUUGUUUUCUUUCUCUAACGGAGCUCACGAGAUUUCUGUUGAGUUUUGUGUUGUGAAGUUUUCAAGUUUUAGGUGAAUUCUUUUGAUGGAUUAUGGAACAAGGAGUGGCAAGAGCCUAAGAUAAUCCAAGGACACCAAAAAGUCAAAGCUUGGGGAUGCCCCAGAAGGCAUCCCCUCUUUCGUCCACUUCCAUCGGUAAUUUACUUGGAGCUAUAAUUUUAUUCACCAACAUGAUAUGUGUUUUGCUUGGAGCGUCUUGUACUAUUUGUGUCUUUGCUUGUUAGUUUACCACAAUCAUCCUUGCUGUACACACCUUUUGAGAGAGCCAUACAUGAAUUGAAAUUUGUUAGAAUACUCUAUGUGCUUCACUUAUAUCUUUUGAGCUUGAUAGUUUUGCUCAUAGUGCUUCACUUAUAUCUUUUUGAGCGUGAUAAUUUUUGCUCUAGUGCUUCACUUAGAUCUUUAAGAGCACGGUGGUGGAUUUGUUUUAAAGAAACUUGAUCUCUCAUGCUUCACUUAGAUUAUUUUGAGAGUCGUUGAUAGCAUGAUAAUUUGCUUAAUGUUAAUAUACUUGGUAUUCAAGAUAUGUGAAACUUUCUUUUGAGUGCGUUGAAUACUAAGAUAAGUUUGAUGCUUGAUAAUUGUUUUGAGAUAUGGAGGUGAUAAUAUCAUAGUCAUGCUAGUUGGGUGAUUAUGAAUUUGAGAAAUACUUGUGUUGAAGUUAGCAAAUCCCGUAGCAUGCACGUAUGGUUAAAGUUGUGUAACAAAUUUGAAAUAUGACGUGUACUUGGCUUGUGCAUCCUUAUGAGUGGCGGUCGGGGACGAGCGAUGGUCUUUUCCUACCAAUCUAUACCCCUAGGAGCAUGCGCGUAGUAUUUGAAUUUUUGAUGACUUCUAAAUUUUUGCAAUAAGUAUAUGAGUUCUUUCGACUAAUGUUGAGUCCAUGGAUUAUACGCAGUCUCACCUUUCCGCCUUUGCUAGUCUCUUCGGUACCGUGCAUUGCCCUUUCUCACCUUGAGAGUUGGCGCAAACUUCGCCGGUGCAUCCAAACCCCGUGAUACGAUGCACUCUAUCACAUAUAAACCUCCUUAUAUCUUCCUCAAAACAGCCACCAUACCUACCUAUCAUGGCAUUUCCAUAGCCAUUCCGAGAUAUAUUGCCAUGCAACAUCCACCAUCAUCAUCAUGACAUACAUUACUUUUGUCAUAUUGCCAUUGCAUAAACAUGUAGUUGACAUCGUAUUUGUGGCAAAGCCACGAUGCAUUAUUUUCCAUACAUGUCACUCUUGAUUCAUUGCACCAUCCCGGUACACCGUUGGAGGCAUUCAUAUAGAGUCAUAUCUUGUUCUAGUUUCGAGUUGUAAUCCUUAUGUUGUAAUCAAUAGAAGUGUGAUGAUCAUCAUUAUCAGAGCAUUGCCCAAAUGAAAAAAAGAGAAAGGCUAAAAAAAGAAAGGCCCAAAAAUAAUAAUAUAAAAAGGGCAAUGCUACUAUCUCCUUUUCCACACUUGUGCUUCAAAGUAGCACCUUGUUCUUUAUGUAGUGAGUCUCAUAUAUUGUGCUUCAAAGUAGGACCAAGUUUUUCAUAUAGUGAGUCUCAUAAGUUGUCUUGUUCAUAUUAGUGGGAAUUUUUCAUUAUAGAACUUGGCUUGUAUAUUCCUACGAUGGGCUUCCUCAAAAUGCCCUAGGUCUUCAUGAGCAAGCAAGUUGGAUGCACACCCACUAGUUUUCUUUUGUUGAGCAUUCAUAGCUCUAGUGCAUCCGUUGCAUGGCAAUCCCUACUCCUUGCAUCAACAUCAAUCGAUGGGCAUCUCCAUAGCUCAUUGAUUAGCCUCGUUGAUGUGAGACUUUCUCCUUUUUUGUCUUCUCCACACAAUCCCCAUCAUCAUAUUAUAUUCCACCCAGAGUGCUAUAUCCAUGGCUCACGCUCAUGUAUUGCGUGAAGGUUGAAAAAGUUUGAGAUUAUUUAAGUAUGGAACAAUUGCUUGGCUUGUCAUCGGGGGUAUAAAAGUUGGGAACAUCUUUGUGUGACGAAAAUGAAGCAUAGCCUAACUAUAUGAUUUUGUAGGGAUGAACUUUCUUUUGCCAUGAUGUUUUGAGAAGACAUGAUUACUUUGAUUAGUAUGCUUGAAGUAUUAUUAUUUCUAUGCCAAUAUGAACUUUUGUCUUGAAUCUUUCGGAUCUGAAUAUUCAUACCAUGAUUAAGAAGAUUUACAUUGAAAUUAUGCAAAAGUAUUACUCCGCAUCAAAAAUUCUUUUUUUUAUCAUUUACCUACUCGAGGACGAGCAGGAAUUAAGCUUGGGGAUGCCUGAUACGUCUCCAACGUAUCUAUAAUUUUUGAUUGCUCCAUGCUACUUUAUCUAUUGCUUUGGACUAUAAUGGGCUUUAUUUUCCACUUUUAUAUUAUUUUUGGGACUAACCUAUUAACCGGAGGCCCAGCCCAGAAUUGCUGUUUUUUGCUUUUUUCAGUAUUUCGAAGAAACAGAAUAUCAAACGGAGUCCAAACGGAAUGAAACCUUUGGGAACGUGAUUUUCUCAUCGAACGUGAUCCAGGAGACUUGGACCCUAUUCCAAGAAGCACCAGAGGCGGUCACGAGGGUGGAGGGCGCACCUCCCUAGGCGCACCCCCCUACCUCAUGGGCCCCUCGGAGCUCCACCGACGUACUCCUUCCUCCUAUAUAUACCUACGUAUCCCCAAACGAUCAGAACAGGAGCCAAAAACCUAAUUCCACUGCCGCAACCUUCUGUAUCCACGAGAUCCCAUCUUGGGGCCUGUUCCGGAGCUCCGUCGGAGGGGGCAUCUACCAUGGAGGGCUUCUACAUCAUCACCAUAGCCCCUCCGAUGAAGUGUGAGUACUUUACUUCAGACCUUCGGGUCCAUAGCUAGUAGCUAGAUGGCUUCUUCUCUCUUUUUGGAUCUCAAUACAAUGUUCUCCCGCUCUCUCGUGGAGAUCUAUUCGAUGUAAUCUUCUUUUUGUGGUGUGUUUGUUGAGACCGAUGAAUUGUGGGUUUAUGAUCCAACUUAUCUAUGAAUAAUAUUUGAAUCUUUUCUGAAUCCUUUUAUGUAUGAUUGAGUUAUCUUUGCAAGUUCUUCAAAUUAUCCUUUUGGUUUGGCCAACUAGAUUGGUAGUUCUUGCAAUGGGAGAAGUGCAUGGCUUUGGGUUCAAUCUUGCGGUGUCCUUACUCAGUGACAGAAGGAGUUGCAAGGCACGUAUUGUAUUGUUGCCAUCGAGGAUAAUAAGAUGGGGUAUUUAUCAUAUUGCAUGAAUUUAUUCCUCUACAUCAUGUCAUCUUGCUUAAGGCGUUACUCUAUUUUUAACUUAAUACUCUAGAUGCAUGCUCGAUAGCGGUCAAUGAGUGGAGUAAUAGUAGUAGAUGCAGAAUCGUUUUGAUCUACUUGUCUCAGACGUGAUGCCUAUAUACAUGAUCAUACCUAGAUAACCUCAUAACUAUGCUCAAUUUUGUCAAUUGCUCAACAGUAAUUUGUUCACCCACCGUAGAAUACUUAUGCUCUUGAGAGAAGCCACUAGUGAAACCUAUGGCCCCCGAGUUUAUUCUCAUCAUAUCAAUCUCCAUCACUUUAUUUACUUUCUUUGCUUUUACUUUUACUUUGUAUCUUUAUACCAAAAAUACCAAAAAUAUUAUCUCUAUCAGAUCUCACUCUCAUAAGUGACCGUGAAGGGAUUGACAACCCCUAAUCGCGUUGGUUGCGAGUAGCUAUUGUUUUGUGCAGGUACGAGGGACUUGCGCGUGACCUCCUACUGGAUUGAUACUUUGGUUCUCAAAAACUGAGGGAAAUACUUACGGUACUGUGCUGCAUCAUCCUCUCCUCUUCGGGGAAAACCAACGCAAGCUCGAGACGUAGCACCGAACAAGGCCUCAGUUGCUCUUUAGUUGUUUUUCUGCGGAUUGUUAGGAGCAUAGUAAUUGUCAUUGAUAGAACUGCAUAGUAUUUGUUAGGAGCUAGCUAGCUUGGUCUUCCCAAAAACAUGAUCCUUCUAAAUCUUGGUUUGGCUUAAUUUGAAUUAGCCUUCUCUGCAACAUACAUUCAUGCCAAUUUCAGUGUUGGUUUGUUUUAUAGUUUGGUUUGUUUCAAUGUUGUGGUUAGGCAAUUAGCAUACAAAAGUUUCUGGAUUUUUAGCUGCCAUUACUUCCAACCAUUUUCGUUAAUUAAUGUUGAUGCACUUAGAUUGAUUUGCUAAGUUGCAACAAUUUGUUGUCUUUGGCAGAUGGACAGAAGCUGGAUUAGAAAAGGAGUUAGAAUGUUUUAGAAAGAACAUAUUAAAGGAGUUGAUGAUUUCAUGGCAUUUGUUCGGGCAAAUUUUGCCAGCGAUGCUCACAUUCUUUGCCCAUGCUGCGAAUGCCUCAACCUUUCAAGAAUGGCUCAAGGAAGAGUGGAAGAUCAUCUGCUUCUUAAUGGGAUGUCCAACACAUAUGAUAGAUGGAUAUAUCAUGGAGAACCUUUAGACAGACAACCUCAACAUUUUGAAGCUGAUACAGAGGCCCCUCAUAUGAUGGGUGGCGGUGAUGCUGGCAUUUAUUUCAUGGAAAAGGUUUUGCAAGAUAAUGCUGGUUUGGAGGAAGAGGAUGGGCAUGAAGAUGAUAGGAUUCCUGACCUAUUGAAGGAUUUGUACGAUGCUGAAGAUCAUGCUGAUGGACAGAAGUCGUUGUUUGCUGAGGUGUUAGAGGAGGAGAAGCACGCAGCUCAUGAAGGGGGUAAAUUUUCAAGAUUUACCUUCACCGUGAAGUUACUCCACAUCAAGUAUUUCUACCGGAUUAGCAAUGCUGCAUUCAACACAAUACUCCGCCUUUUGAGCUUGCAAUUCCCUAAUAGUUGUGUUCCCAGAUCUUAUGAUGAAGCAUUGAGCAUAAUCCGCAGGCUGGGGUUAGGUUAUGUGUCAAUACAUGUGUGCCCAAAUAACUGUGUCUUGUUUUGGAAGGAUUUAGCAAAGCAUGACAACUGUCCAAAAUGCAAUGCCUCUAGGUGGAAAGAUGCUGAUGGGAAGAAGUCAAUACCGGAGAAGGUACUGAGGCACUUUCCAUUGAUACCAAGGUUGCAACGGAUGUUCAUCUCAAAGAAAUCAUCGCUGGAGGUACAAUGGCACAAGCUGAAGCGGCAACCUAUGGACAAUGAGCUGAGCCAUUCAGCGGACAGAGAGGCAUGGGAAGAGUUUGACUGUAUACAUGUAGAUUUUGCUGCAGAUCCAAGGAACAUAAAACUUGGCAUUGCCAUAGAUGGGUUUAAUCCAUUUGGGAACAUGAGCACGUCUUAUAGCAUGUGGCAAGUUUUUGUGGUGCUGUACAACCUGCCACCAUGGGCAUGCAUGGAUUAGUCCAACUUCAUGAUGUCAUUGCUUAAUCCGGGUCCAGAUUCUCUAGGAAAGGAUUUUGAUGUCUUUAUGGAGCCUGUCGUAGAAGAACUGCUCCAGCUCUGGACUGGUGUACCUACAUACGAUUCCUUGAGUCCGGAAGAAAAGUUCAAUCUACGUGCUGUAAUGAUAUGGUCCAUCCAUGAUUUCCCGUCUCUGCACACUCUGUCUAGGAGGAUCACGUCGGGUUAUAAGGCCUGUGCCCAUUGUGACAAAGACCCUUUCUCAAAGAGAAUAAGGAGCAAGAUCUUCUAUAUUGGGCACCGCCGCUUUGUUCCCCGAAAACAUCGCUGGCGAAGAAGAAAAUAUUUUAAUGGUGAGAAUUAAACUCGUGACAAGCCAGCUGAAUUCACUAAAGAAGAGUUGGAGUAGCAACUUUAAAAGGUGAAAGAUGUGAGACCAGGAAAGCUUGCGAAGAAAAGAAAGCGUGAGGAAGGUCAAUGUUGGGACCGGAGGUCUUGUUUGUGGGACCUGCCAUACUGGGCUGAUCUGAGAUUAAGGCAUAAUCUUGAUGUAAUGCGCAUUGAGAAAAACAUAUGCGAGAAUCUGCUAGGGACGUUUCUGAACAUUGAAGGGAAGACAAAGGGCACGGUUGGUUCUAGGCUUGAUUUGGAGGACAUGGGCAUAAGAGAAGAUUUGCAUCUACAACACAAUGAAGAUGAAGAUUCAUUUGAAAUGCCACGAGCAUGGUAUACAAUGAGUAAAGAACAAAAACUUGCAUUCUGUGAAUUCCUAAGAGCGGUGAAAUUUCCAGAUGGUUAUGCUGCUAACCUAGCAAAGUGUGUUACUUCUGAUGGAUUCAAGCUUUCAGUACUGAAAACCCAUGAUUGUCACAUCCUUCUUCAAAGGAUUUUACCGGCGGGCCUCCGAGGAAUCAUGGACAAGGAUAUAUAUGAAGUGGUUGCUGAGCUGGGAAAUUUCUUUAGAGAAUUGUGCUGCAAAACACUCAAGUUAACUAUCCUGGAAAGACAUGAAAAAGAAAUCCCAAUUAUUCUUUGCAAGCUCGAGAAGAUUUUCCCUCCAGCUUUCUUCACCGUGAUGGUCCAUUUGGCGGUGAACUUACCAAAAGAGGCAAUUCUUAGGGGCCCUGUGCAAUACGGUUGGAUGCACCCAAUCGAAAGAAGGCUGCUUACUUGUAAGCGUUAUGUGCGGAACACAACAAGACCUGAAGGUUCUAUUGCUAAAGCAUAUGUUGUUAACGAGUGCUUGACUUUUUGCUCUAGAUAAUUUGGCGAUGUGGAAACAAGAUGGAACCAGACGGGCAGACAUAGAGAGCGGUCUGAUUUGCAAAGUGGUGAUGUCUCUGUUUUCAACCAUGGUGUGAACUUUCAGCCUCACAAUACUUGGAGGCUGGUGAUGAGUAUGACAAGAUGGUUUGGUAUGUGCUCAGCAAUUGCGCCGAGGUUCUACCAUAUAUCGAGUACGUUAUAUCUUGUGCACUCAUUAUAUUUUUUUUUCUUGGGUUGGCACCAGCCUAUUGUUUUAAUUCACAUGUUUUGUUUGCAUUGCAGGAAAUGCAAGGAAGAGUUAAAUCAGGAAGAAAGCAAGAUCCAUGUUGAUAAAAGGGUUGCCAAGGGGUUUGCUAAGUGGUUUAAGAAUCAUGUGAGAUCUUUGGCCACAUGUUUGAUGUUUUUUGUGUUAUUCACCAACUGUUAAAUACCAUUGUUUGCUAAAUGGUUUAUUUUUGCAGAUUGGAAAGUUGCAUGAGGAGAAGAAGGUCAGUGAUGAUCUAUUUGCUUUGGCAUGCUUACCGGAUAAGCGAGUGAGAGUGUAUUCAGCAUGCAUUGCUGACAGUGUCUGAUACCACAUCGUUGACCGCGAGGAAAAAAGGAAGACACAGAAUAGUGGAAUUGUCACUGAGGGGUCACAUGAUCAUGAGAUCAUUGACUUCUAUGGUCAGUUGAGAAGCAUCAUAGAGUUGCAGUACAACUCUAGUGGAGGCAUCCAUUGCUUGGUUGUCUUAUUUUGCUGUGACUGGUUUGAGCUUGGUAGCAAGAAGAAGAGAGACUCUUUUGUCAAAUAUGAUGGCCACUUCAGAAGCAUCAACACUGUAAGGUGCUGGUAUAAGAGUGAUCCCUUUAUUCUAACAACACAAGCAACAAUGGUGUUUUAUCUGCCAGACACUCUUUUGCACAGAAAGUGGCGAGUUGUGCAAAACUUUGAGCACAGACACUUGUGGAGUGUGACUAAAACUGAAGUGGAAAAGGGCCCCGGUGGUGGUUGAGGGAGUCCUGGAUUAGGGGGUCCUCGGACAGCCGAACUAUAUACUUUGGCCAGACUGUUGGACUAUGAAGAUACAAGAUUGAAGACUUCGUCCCGUGUCCGGGUGGGACUCUCCUUUGCGUGGAAGGCAAGCUUGGCAAUUCAGAUAUGUAGAUCUCCUUCUCUGUAACCGACUCUGUGUAACCCUAGCCCCCACUGGUGUCUAUAUAAACCGGAGGGUUUAGUCCGUAGGACGAGAACAAUCAUAAUCAUAGGCUAGCUUCUAGGGUUUAGCCUCUACGAUCUCGUGGUCGAUCAACUCUUGUAAUACUCAUAUCAUCAAGAUCAAUCAAGUAGGAAGUAGGGUAUUACCUCCAUCGAGAGGGCCCGAACCUGGGUAAACAUUGUGUCCCCCGCCUCAUGUUACCAUUAGCCUUAGACGCACAGUUCGGGACCCCCUACCCGAGAUCCAUCGGUUUUGACACCGACAUUGGUGCUUUCAUUGAGAGUUCCACUGUGCCGUCAUGAUAAGGCUUGAUGGCUCCUUCAAUCAUCUGCAAUGAUGCGAUCCAGGGUGAGGUUUUCCUUCCCGGAUAGAUCUUCAUAUUCGGCGGCUUCGUACUGCGGGCCAACUCGCUUGGCUAUCUGGAGCAGAUCGAUAUCUACGCCCCUGGUCAUCAGGUCAGGUUUGGAAGCUUGAACUACACUGCCGACAUCCGUGGAGACUUGAUCUUCGACGGAUUCGAACCCAUGACAGGUGUGCCGAACAGUCACGAGGAGCAUGACCUAGAUCUGCCAUCAGACGACGUUCGGGAGAUCAUACCUGCGGUUGCCCCGGCUCUUGAUCCGGAGCAGAUCGUGCCAUCCGAGGACGGGUGGAUGGACCCCACCACGGAGGCCGCACACACAUCGGCGAUAGUGCCGAACACAGACUUCGCCUCCAAUGAGGCCUGUGUCGUCGGACCCUCGGACUCAUCUCUGGCCAUAGGCUCUGAACCGCGUACAUCCGUGCCUAUCAAAUCUGAUUGGGCACCGAUCAUGGAGUUUACCUCCGCGAACAUCUUUUAGCACUCGCCCUUGGGCAACGUGCUAAAUUCAUUGAAGUCUCUCUCCCUGUCAGGAGACUCUUGGCCGAACUAUGUCCGUCUUGAGUGGCAAGCGGAUGACGAAGAAAUUCGUUCUCCACCCACCACCCACUUAAUAGCCACUGUCGAUGACUUAACCGACAUGCUUGAUUAAGACUCCGAAGACAUCGACGGUAUGGACGACGAUGCAGGAGAAGAACAGGAACCAUCGCCCACAGGGCGCUGGACAGCCACCUCAUCAUAUGAUAUAUAUAUAUAUAUAUAUAUAUAUAUAUAUAUAUAUAUAUGGUGGACACGCCCAAAGAAAGCAAUGGCGACGAGGCAACACAGGAUAAUCCCCUUGAGAAGCAAUCUAAGCGCCGACGGCGCCGCUCUAAGCCCCGCUACAGCAAAAAUGGCGAUACUGGCACAGGAGACAAUAGCACUCCGGAUGGUGCCGAAGACGAAAACAAUCCCGUCCAGCCAAGCUUCGAGCAAGCCGGACAGGAUGAUGGGAAAGUUAGCCCCGAUAAACAGGCAAUGGAUGGAAAUUCGGAGGACGACAAUUACAUGCCUCUCUCCGAAGACGAGCCGAGCCUCGGCGACAAAGAAUUCAUCGUGCAUGAGGAUGCCGUCGAGCAAGAGCGCUUCAAGCGCCGGCUUAUAGCAACUGCAAAAAGCCUGAAGAAGAAGAAGCAGCUUCAAGCUGAUCAAGAUCUUCUAACUGAUAGAUGGACUAAGGUCCUAGCAGAUGAGGAAUAUAGACUCGCGCGCCCAACCAAAAGUUACCCAAAGCGCAGGUUGCUACCUCAACUUGGGGAGGAGGCAUUAAAGCCCACAGUACCAGCACAUGAUGCGGCUGACCGGCCACCUCGUGGCCGAGACAAAGCGGCGUAUCAGCCCGAAGUCCAGCCCGCACCCCAUCGCCAAACAAGCAAAAACACGAAGGCCCGAGGCUCCACACAUGACCUGCAAGACAAAUUGGAAAACAAAGCAAGACAGUCAAGAUCGAUCUACGGAUCACGGGGGCAUUCCCCAACGCGAGACGAUGACCUUCACACCGGAUAUACUAAAUACAAAUCCGGUCGGGCCGAAUACAACAGACCAGACUCGUUUGAGCUACGUCGUGAUGUAGCCGGCAUAGAGGCGCCGCACACCCCCUAUGCUUCACUGAUGAAGUAAUGGGUCAUGAAUUCCCAGAAGGGUUUAUGCCCGUGAACAUCGAAUCAUAUGAUGGAACUACAGACCCCGUGGUAUGGAUAGAAGAUUUCUUUCUCCACAUUCACAUGACCCACGGGGACGACCUACACGCCAUCAAAUACCUCCCAUUAAAACUCAAGGGACCUGCUCGGCAUUGGCUGAAUAGCUUGCCGACAAACUCCAUCAGAAGUUGGGAGAACCUAGCAGACACAUUCCUGGAUAACUUCCAGGGCACGUAUGUGCGACCACCGGAUGCUGAUGACUUAAGUCACAUAACCCAACAGCCCGGAGAGUCAGCCAGGAAAUUCUGGACUCGGUUCCUAACUAAAAAGAACCAAAUCGUCGACUGUCCGGAUGCUGAAGCCCUAGCGGCCUUUAAGCAUAAUAUCCGUGACGAGUGGCUUGACCGACACCUCGACCAAGAAAAUACGAAGUCCAUGGCAGCCCUCACGACACUCAUGACCCAUUUUUGUGCAGGAGAGGAUAGCUGGUUGGCUCGUAGCAACAACACAACAAGCAAUCCUGGCACAUCAGAGGCCAGAGAUAGCAACGGCAAGCCCCGACGCAACAAACACAAGCAUCGCAGAAAUGGUGAUAACACCGAAGACACGACAGUCAAUGCCGGAUUCAGUGGCUCUAAGUCCGGUUAGCGGAAAAAGGCAUUCCAAAAGAACAAUUCAGGCCCGUCCAGUCUGGACUGCAUACUCAAUCAUCCAUGCCAAAUUCAUGGCACCCCAAGAACACCAGCCAAUCAUACCAAUAGAGAAUGUUGGGUCUUCAAACAAACUGGCAGGUCAGGUGCCAAAAACAAGGAGAAAGGGUCCCAAAGCGAUGACGACGAGGAGGAGCCCCAAUCACCAAACAAAGGAGGGCAAAAGAAAUUUCCCCCGCAAAUCAAAACAGUGAAUAUGAUAAACGCCAUCCACAUCCCCAAACUGGAAUGGACGUGCACUCUUAGGGAUGUCGACUUAAAGGAGCCAAUUGCCCCACAAUAUAAACUAUGGACGAUCACUUUCGACCGUAUGGAUCGUCCGGCCAAUACCAAUCAGGGCAAUUCAGCCGCACUCAUCCUAGACCCAAUAAUUGACGGAUUCCACCUCACACGAGUCCUUAUGGACGGAGGCAGCAGUCUAAACCUGCUGUAUCAGGACAUAGCGCGCAAGAUGGGUAUUGAUAAUUCAAUGAUCAAGCCCACUAAAACCACCUUUAAAGGUGUUAUACCAGGUGUGGAGGCCCGUUGUAUAGGCUCCAUCACUCUGGAGGUAGUCUUCGGAUCACCGAACAAUUACCAUAUCGAAGAGUUAGUCUUCGACAUCGUCCCUUUCCGCAGUAAUUCUCAUGCACUGCUUGGAUGAACCGCGUUUGCUCGAUUCAACGCGGUGCCACACUAUGCCUACCGUAAGCUCAAGAUGCCCAGUCCACGUGGCGUCAUAACAGUUAAUGGCAAGGCCGAACUCCACCUCUGCGCCGAAGAGUGUACAGUCGCCUUAGAAGCAACGAAAGGUGUCUUUCAAUCGAACCUCGAGUCGACGGCCAAGCUCCCGGACACUGUCAAGGGAGUCCGAACUACUCUGCGGCAGGAUAGCCCGGCUCGCCCGGAGCUCAAUUAAGACACUCCAGCAGUAAACGGAGGCACAGCUAGAAUAGGCCACACAAUGCGGCUUAACCUCUCCAUGGCACAUAAAUAUCUUUUUGCACUAUCUUUGCAAGUCCACUUUUGUGUAGGCCAAGACUGGCGGCAUGGAAACAACUAGAAUGCAUAAGGGAAUCCUUAGAGAUGCCCUUUGACGACCAUCCAGUUACACUCCGGAUCCGCACACAGCCUCCUCCCACUUGAUUUCAGCAGGUUCCGAAGUCAUAUCUCUUUUUAUCACAUUACCUGUACUCAUACGCAUCGACGUGUUAUUCAAUUACAACAUGUGGCUUUAUAUGACGCUCAUCUGCUGUUGUUUCUUAUCGACACUCUUUGUCAAAUGGCAUCCGUACAUCGCGAUAUGCCUUAAUAUGCCAGGGGCUUCAUUGUACCCAUAAUACGACAAUAAAGUCCGACCACCUUCACGGUCAUUCGGCACCCCGAACUUAUAGCAUUAUAUGCAUCAGCUCCGAAUCAUGUCUUGGGUCAAUAGUUGGGUUUGCCCGGCUCCUAUGUUUUGCUGCCUUACGUUCCGCUAUAUUGGCUAGGGCGGCAUAGGGAGAACUAUUGCGAUUGUGUCUCGGUUCUUCCGGACGAGCGCCUCAUAGAGAAAGCUGAAAACUGACUGUCAUGAUACGGCGAGAGCUAGUCAGCUGUUCGACAGGUUGUAAAAUCUUUAAGGAUUUCUUCCGCAUAAUGCCAUAACCAAUGCAGCGUGCGAUGGAUCGGCUUUUCUUCUGAUUAGGUGCUUAUAGAGCCCCUCGUGCGGUCUUCCGAACAGCAGGGGCUGUGCCUAACUUCCUUUUGUUAAACUCCUAUGGCUAAGUGAGAGCGAUAAAGCCCUAUAGUCCGAUUGCCUGGUUCGUUGUGCUGAACACCUCCUUCAAGGACCCAAAACUGGGAUAAAGAGUGCUCAGGUUUAUCCCGAACACUCCCGUACUUCCUACAUGGGGGCAGAAGCCGCCGACUGGCCAACUCUCAGGAUUAAUAUAUAAAACGGCCGCGCAGGAGGAAAAACUUUCAAAUAACAGGCAAUAAACAAUAGAAAUGACCUUGUUCAACAUUACAAAGGACAACAUGACUGUAUUCAUGGAAAUAUAAUGUCCUUGGUGCAUUGCUCCGCCGCAAGGCGGGAUCCUUUUAGGACACUAUCAUAAUAUAAUUCAGGCUUGUGGUGCUCCUUCCCCUCUGGCGGUCCCUCGAUCAUCAGCUUUUCAGCAUCCAUCUUCCCCCAAUGCACCUUUGCGCGGGCGAAGGCGAUUCGUGCACCCUCAAUAUAGACCGACCGCUUGAUGACAUCAAGUCGAGGUCAGGCACUCACAAGCCGCUUCACGAGCCCGAAGUAGCUGCUUGGAAUCGGCUUGGCGGGCCAUAGCUGGAUAAUUAAAUCCUUCAUGGCUAGUUCGGCCGCCUUAUGCAGUUUGAUCAACUGCUUAAGCUGAUCGGCAAGUGGCACCGGAUAAACCGACGCCAGAUACUGCGACCAGAAGAGCUUCUCCUUAGUGCUCCUUUCUUCAACUCGAUAGAAUAGUGCGGCAUCAGAAAUGUUGCAUGGCAGCUCCGCAAAUACCCUUGGAGAAAUCAAAAUUCAAAUUAUCAACUUGAUUUUCUCCUUUCAAAUACCCGCUUUGUAUAGAAAAUCCUUGCCAGCCGCAAUCUUCCUCGCCUCCUGGAUUUCCUUCAGGGCACCAUGGGCUUCCCCCCGGGCAUCACUUGAGGCUUGGCGAGCUUGGCGAGCUUGGUAGAGUUCGGAUUCUUUCCCUGAUAAACUCUGCUCCAAGGUCUCGCAUUUCUCCACGGCCUCUUGAAGCUCUCACUCGGCUUCAAUAACCCUGGCCUCGUGCUUUUUGCAAAGAGCCUGCUCUACGACUGCCUUCUUCUCGGCUUCAGCCACAGUCUUCUUAAGAGCCUCAAUUUUGGCCGUCGCCCCUAGAGCACAUCAUAAAAAUAUUUUCAUCAUGCAAACUUAUUAAUUUGUGCUGAAUAUGAACAAGGUUUCUUCAUACCUUGGUUAUCCUCCAACUGCUUCUUCACUCGGUCGAGUUCCCCUUCGGCCCGCUCCAGACUCUGCCUCAGUCUGGAGACUUCCAUAGUUUGAGCGGCGACAGUUGCUACAAACGCCUGCUUUUGAAUAAAAGAGAGAUGCCAUAAAGUGAGUCUCCUGCGAACAUUUAUUUGAUCCUCUGUUCGGUUCCUUCUUUCACCGAACAGUGCAUCAGGGGCUACUACCUAUACUAUGACAUUCUUUGAAACCUCACAAAACAUACCUCAAGGCCCGUUCUAAGGCUGAUGCAGGCUUCAUUCAGUCCACUCUCAGCGGACUGAAUCCUAUCAACCACCGCACCCAUAAGGGCAUGGUGUUCAUCGAUGAUGGAGGCGCUUUUCAGCACCGCCAAUAAAGUAUCUAGCACCUCUGGUUGGAUAGAGGUUGCCGGUGGAAUAGGCACACCCCCUCUAGCCGAGGGAGGCCACCUGCCCACUUCUAGAGCCGUAUUGGUCUCUGGAAUUGCGUCCGGCUGGGGGCCGACUUCAAGAUAGCCCCCGCCGUUGACGUCUGUGGGAGUCUUCUCUCCCAUGUACCCGGCCCCCGAAGUUUGACCUCCUGGCACCGCCUUUACGAUCUCCCCCCCCCCCUCCUUGGCCUGGGUCCUUCUAGGACGAAACCUCGGUGUCAUUCACAUGUUUGGGGGAGGGGGCCUUCGGGGGUGUCCCGCUCUCCAUAGCAUCCGAGCCCAAUAAAUCCUCCGACAAAGAUUGUUUGGUGCGGGACCUCGCCGGACUACAAAAAAGUAUGGCUCAGAUUAAAAUACUAUGCCAUGAUGAGUCUGGACGCAUAAACGUAUUCGGAUUUUAUAUACUCACGAGUUCACCAGGGGCUGGGCCCUGGGAUCCCACUCCGGGCUGCUGUUGGCAGUAGUGGCAGACUCCUCUGGAAGGGGAGUUUUUCCCUUCUUAGGCGACUUGGCCUCCAAAGAUUUGGAGGCCGUCUUUUUCUUUCCUCCCCUUGCUGGGGAUGGGUCUUCCUCCUCUUCCUCGUCCUCUCUAGAGGAAGAUCGGGCAUCGGAGUCUUCAGACAUUGUGUCCGAAGUGCCACGACAAAGAAGGCCGCCCCUGGUCUUUUUGGCCCCCUUCCCGGCCUUCUUCAGCGCCUUGUAAGGCACCAGGACCAGCAUCUUCGUCAUAAGUGGGCCGGCCGGUUCUUCCGGCAAAGGGGCCGGAUAGUAGAUCCGCCCCACCUUCUUCGUCCAGCCCUAGGAGAGUUGUGGAAAACACAUUAAGCAUUUUCCUCAGGAUAUGCGAAUAAAACAUAUGAAUUGCCAACAUACAAUGACUUACCGAACUUGCAGGGCGGGACAGUUGGUACCCGCGGUCCUCUGCGGAGUCCGGCCACGAUUUGCCGGACUUAAAGAGCACCUUCCAAAUGUCCUUAUGCAAGGAGCCAAAGAGCUCUAGCAGGGUCCUGUGCUUGGCCGGGUCGAAUUCCCAUAAAUUGCAAGCCCUGUGUUGACAAGGAAGAAUCUGGCGAACUAACAUCACCUGGACUACAUUGACAAGUUUGAUAUUCUUGUCUUCCAUAUCCUUGAUGCGCGUCUGGAGCACCGACAGUUCGUCGGAUGAAGACCAGUUCAGGCCCUUUUUGGGCAAGGAUGUAAGCCGCAGGGGGGCUCUAGAUUGGAAUUCGGGAACAGCGGCCCAUUCCAUGCCGCGCGGCUCAGUGAUGUAAAACCACUGCUGCUGCCACUCUUUGACGGAAUCAUUGAAAGUACCUAAUAGCCAUGUGAUGUUGGGCAUUUUGCUCACCAUUGCGCCUCCGCACUCGGCGCGCUCGCUGCUCACUACCUUGGGCUUCACAUUAAAGAUCAUCAUCCAUAAGCCGAAGUGUGGCGAGAUGCGGAGAAAGGCCUCGCACACGACAAUGAAUGUCGAGAUGUUGAGGAAGGAAUUGGGGGAUAGAUCACGAAAAUCGAUCCCGUAAUAAUACAUGAUGCCGCGAACGAAUGGGUGGAGGGAAAACCUUAGCCUGCGGACAAAAUGAGGGAGGAAUACAACCCUCUCGUGGGGUUCCGGAGUGGGGACGAUCUGUCCCGCCGUCGGAAGACGGUGGUUGAUUUUCUUGGGCAAGUACCCGGCCUCUCGAAGAUUUUUUAUAUCCUUCUCCCGGACGGUAGAGGCCAUCCACUUGCCUCCUGCUCCGGAUCCGGACAUUUUCGGAAGGCCUUUGUGGGCGGAGAAGACGAACGCUUGGGCGCUGGAGCUCAAGCGAAGGGGAAUGGAUGAGCCGAGGAAGAAGAAGGCGUGGGCGAAAGAGGGGAGUACUUAUCUCCUUAUAAAGGCAGCGGGGAUCCUGCGCCUCCCCACUUGCCCGGUAAACUCGCUUAUUCCCCAAGCGUCGCGUUGAUGGCGCGGUUGGGUUACCCACACCCGUAUUUAUGAGAAUCCCAUGAUAAGGGGACACGAUCUCUGCUUCAACAAGACGUGCCAAUGAAACCUCCUCGUGAUAUGUGCGGUAGCAGGUUGGGAAAAAUGUUUCGCAUAAUGACCGGACCGUAGCGUAAUGUCACGCUGUGAAAAGUUGUCAGCAGAUUAGAUUUAUGGAAUAUUGUGCUCUCUAUGGUGGUAUGUGGAAAUUGUUUUGCAGAGCCGGACACAAUCCUUGUGUUAAAGAUCUUCUAUGGAGUAUUCGGAGAAGGAACCCGCCUUGCAAUGCCGAAGACAAUCUGCGCGCCGGACUCAUCGUCAUUGAAGCCUGGUUCAGGGGCUACUGAGGGAGCCCUAUAUUAGGGGGUCCUCAGACAGCCGAACUAUAUACCUUGGCCGGACUGUUGGACUAUGAAGAUACAAGAUUGAAGACUUCGUCCCAUGUCCGGUGGGACUCUCCUUUGCGUGGAAGGCAAGCUUGGCAACUCGGAUAUGUAGAUCUCUUUCUCUGUAACCGACUCUGUGUAACCCUAGCCCCCUCCAUGUCUAUAUAAACCGGAGGGUUUAGUCCGUAGGACGAGAACAAUCAUAAUCACAGGCUAGCUUCUAGGGUUUAGCCUCUACAAUCUCGUGGUAGAUCAACUCCUGUAAUACUCAUAUCAUCAAGAUCAAUCAAGCAGGAAGUAGGGUAUUACCUCCAUUGAGAGGGCCCGAACCUGGGUAAACAUUGCGUCCCCUGCCUUCUGUUACCAUUAGCCUUAGACGCACAGUUCGGGACCCUCUACCCGAGAUCCGCCAGUUUUGACACCGACAGUGGUGGACUAACAUACCAGGAUGAUGACUCUAUGGAAGUUCCGUUGCAAACUGAUGAUGACUCUAUGGAAGUUUCAGUGCAACACAGAGUGCGAAGGGACCGAGAACGUGUGCUCAUUGAUGCUGCAACAUUUGAAGACAUCAAGAAAAGACGAAAGGUGGUAGCAGAUGGACAUGAGAGCGAGGAUGAGGAAAACAUGACUGAUCAUACUGUGCUGCAAUAUUGUAGUGAUGAUGAGGAAAACAAGACUGGGCAUAGAGUUCCUUGUUUUCAUAUCGACAACGGUGAGUAGCGACGGUAAAUUUUGUCUCCUUGGUGAGCUAAUGCUAUUUUAUCUCCUUGGUAGUUGUUGUUGAUGUGAUACUGAUGUAGUUUUUGUACUACAAUUGUCUAGGUACCAGAAUGCAUGAGACUGUGUAGUGAUGGAGAGGCAGAUGAUGGUUGAAGAUACAAAAUGAAGAGGCAAAAUGAAGUUUUGGUGUUCCUGAUCCUGAUCUACAUGUUUUGAAGAUACAAGCUGAUGGUUGAUGUGAUCCUGAUCUACAAGUUUUGGUGAUCACGAAGUUUUGUUGAUCAUUAAGAUCAUGAAGUAGUGGUGAACUAUUUUCCGAGCUAUUUUUCUUAGUUUUGGUGAACAUGCUCUAGUAGUUUUGCUUAGAACUAUUGUUCUCAAAAUAUUGUCAAAUGAUUGCAAAACUAUUUUGUCUUGUAAUGUUGUCUUGUAAUGUUGUCAAAAUGUUAUCUUGUAAUGCAAAAGAUUGCAAAAUGAUCAGAUAGAAGAUGUUGUUUUUGUGAUCAUUUAGUAGUUUUGGUGAUCUAUUUAGUUCAAGUUUCAGAACUAUUUAAUUCAUGUUUUUUUGAACUGAAGAUGUUUUGGUUAGAGCUAUUUUGGACAGAAGAUGUAACUGAAUUUUGCACCAUUUCAUUGUGAGCAAAAAAAUAUGCGCGAGCGAGGACUCGAACCCACGACCAUGCGCUUGUUUCACUGUGUUUCUACCACUGGGCUAGGAAGAGGCUACUGGUCUUCUACUCUAUGCCAUAUCUUUUCAAAUCGUUAAACCAGGCAAGUAUUUAACACAUACCUCACUGACAAGUGGGCCACUCGGCCCACUGGCUGACAAGUGGACCAGUUUGCUACACUACCCACUUGACCCACUUCCCAGAAAAUAUUGGCGUGCGGCCAAAAAGUAUGCACGAGCUGGGGCUCGAACCCAUGACCAUGCGCUUAUUUCACUUGGUUUCUACCAUUGGGAUAGGAAGAGGUUUUUGGUUUUGUACUCUAUGCCCACCCUUUUCAAUAUAUCAAACCACUCACUAACAAUUGGGCUUGCUCCUCCUCCUCUCCACUCUUUUCCCCACUCCCCCUCUCCACUCCUCCUCUCCACUCGACCCGCUCCUCCUCUCCACUCAACCCGCUCCUCCUCUCCGCCGCCACGGACUUCUUCCUCUCCCACCGCCGCCGGCUCCUUCCUCUCUCUCGGUCGCCGACUCUCCAUCGCCAUGGGCCACUUGUGAAGUAUGAAUCCCCUUCCUCUUCCUCUUCCUAUCUACUGUUAUGAUAGAUUAGGGUGAUUCCAUUGAUUUUAUUAGGGUUCUUACCACCGGAUUAGGGUUUGAUUAGGCUUGGAUUAGGGUGUUUGUUAAUACAAAUUUUGUGCUAUUUUAGGUGACGGCGACGGCCUCCCCUUCUCCUCCCCGGCGCCUCUGCUGGUCCGACGCCUCCCGCGCGGCUUGCCCUGCGCUGCCGGCGACCACUUCUUCUCAGGCUUCGGCGUAGGUAAGCCAUCCGCUUCAUAUCCUCUCUCCUUUCUCUUCUGCUCUAGGGUUUGAGAAUCUAGGGUUUGUUAUGCAUAUUAGGCAUCUAGUUGUUCUUGGUGGAUUUAGGCAUAUUGUUCUUGGUGGAUUUAGUAUGCUCUGUUGGUGGAUCUGUGGUAGAUAGUGUGAUAGACUGCUGACAGUGUAAUUAACUGAAUUCUAUGGUAGAUAGUGUGGUAGACAUGUUGUUCUGUUGUUGUUGAAUUCUGUGGUUAGUUAACUAAAUUAAUUGAAGUCUGUUUCUAUUGAAUUCUUUGGUGAACAUGCUGUUGCUGUUGCCAGCCUGCUGUUGCUGUUGAAUUAACAUGGCAUGCAUACAACAAUCCUUUUGUUGUUGUUGUGUAAUUAACUGAAUGUAACUAAUGAGGAGUGCUGACAGCAAUUCUGUUGAUGUUGCUGUGUAAAUAACUGAAUGUAACUGAUGAGGAGUGUUGCUUUUGUUACUAGUUGUGGUUAUUCUUGUUAUCAAGUCUUUUGCUGCAGUGGGAUUCAUGCAUAUGCAGGUGUAGUGACCUGCAUGAACAUGGGCAGAGUAGUAGCAGCAGUAGAUGCCAACUUUUGAUAUGCAUGCAUGCAUUCUUGCUUGUUUAUAUUCUUUCAAAUUGAACAUGCUCAAGUAUGGAAACAUUACAUUCUUCUCCAACUUAGUGGCCAAGAAACAUUACAUUUAUGAGUGCACAUGCUCAAGUCUGUGUGUCUGUUGAUGUUUUUGCCCUCAGAAAUGUUGAUGGGUGCUGUUGAUGUUGAUGGGUUGUGUUGAUGUUGAUGUUCUUCUUCUACUCAUUGCCCCUUUGCCAAGAUAGAGUAGGAGCAAAUUGAGGCCAUUGCCAUUUAUAGUAGUAUUCCAAAUUGAGGCCCUGGCAAACACAUGUAGUACAUAUUCUACUGCUUUGAAGUGCUUGUUUCCUAUUUAUGUACAGUCUUGUUGUUUAAUUUACAAUGCUGCUUUUCAGAGAAGUGAGAUGGCUAGCUUGGAAGGUUUCAAGUUCUUUGAGAUCGUAAUUGAGAAAUCUUGUAGUAGGCAGGUAUAUUCCCCUUCACCCAUCUCUUUAUCAUCACUCUGCUGUCUAGUGCUUGAUUGGCACAAUUAACCACUGCUUGACCCUCGCUGCAGAGGCUGCCUGACAAGUUUGCGAAGAUGCUUGCCAGCCGUGAGCCCCACAAAGUGAAGCUGCGGGAGGCCGGCAGUAGGCGUCGUAGGCUGUGGGACGUGGUGGUGGUGUUCGACGGUGAAGACCACAUGUACCUAGGGCCCAGUUGGGAGCAUUUCGCCCGCGCCCAUGAGCUGCAGCUCAGGCACUUCCUUGUCUUCCGCUACAAUGGCGACACCAUGUUCACUAUGAAGAUGUUCGACAACACCAUGUGCUGCAUGUACUACCAGCACGUCAACGAUGCCAGUAAGCUCUCUGCAUCUCUUCUUCCUGUCCUUUUGGCUUCCUCUACCAGCACGACGGCAACACCAUGUUCACACUUUGUUGCAUUUGGCCAGGCAAUGGGAGUAGAAGCAGGGAUGACGAGGAGCAGAGUGGGCAAGAAGAGGAGUAGAGCGAGGAUGACGAGGAGCAGAGCGGGGAUGACGAGGAGUAGAAUGGGGAGGUGCAGCCUAUUCUGGCUGACGACGACCUUGCUAUGGUGGUGGCUGACGACGACCCUCCUAUGGUGGUUGCUGACGAUGACCUCGCGAUUGUGGUGCCUGACGCUGACGCUGCUAUGGUGGCUGACGACGACCUCGCGAUUGUGGUGCCUGACGCUGACCUUGCGAUGGUGGUGCCUAACGAUGACCUCGGCGAUGGUAGUGGCGCCAGCGAUCCCAUAGCUGGGCGACAGGACCAUGCCUAUUGUGGUAGAGGAGUACAUCCGCGUCGGCAUUCGCCACUCUGAGCGCAUAAGGAGGAUGAAGGAGAAUAAGGAGAAGAAUGAGUGAAGAUGUUAAGAAAUCAAGUGGCAAUGCUAAGUGGAAAUGCCAAGCUUAGUUUGAAUUUUGUGCAUGCUUAUGGAUGCUCAAGUAUGAAUAUUCGGUUUCUUAAUUAUGAAUAUUCAGUUUGGUAAUUGAUGGGAAUUGAUAUUUUGUGCAUGCUCAUGGAUGAAAGAUGAAAUUAUGGGUUUUUGUGCAUGCUCAUGUAUGAAACAAUAUAAGUUUCAUUUUGUGAUUGUCAAAAACAUGUUUUUUCAUUAAGAUUGUUCAUUAAGAAUCAACAAUAUAAGUUUAAUGCUCAAGUAUGACAGUGUCAUCUAAACAUGGUUUUUUUAUAAAGAAUCGACAACAGAUUUGCAUGACUAAAACCCUAGCCACGGACGGCCGCCACGAUGAAAUCGACCAAUUUUUUAAAACACCAUAAAAAAUUCAAACAAAUUCAAAAAAUGGGAGACCUCCGCGUCACAUCAUCAAAUGUGGCCUACCAACUAGCAAAAAUACUAAACUUGGAAUACUGACGUUCUCUUGAAAAGGUGUUCUCAAAAACGACCUACCAUGAACGAAGAUUCAUGGCUUUCAAGCCAAACUAGCAAUGAUGUGGCCGCAUCCAUUGAAUAGUUUUUGAUAAUAUGCCCAAAUUUGGCGCAUGCCUCCGUCUUGUGAUGGCAAACAAUGUUGCCAAAGCGAGCUUCCAACUUGUUACACAAAAAAACCGUUUUCAUUUUUUGAAUGCUAAAGACAUGCGUUUUUGGUGAAGCGGCUACAAGGAGGGUCACCCCAAACGGCGCCAUUCCAUGUCUAUCUCAAAGUAGACCAUAUUUUACGGACGGUCGCCAAAAAUCAUGCAUUUCCGACCCUCGUAGCUACUCCCGGCCAUUCAGACAACCUUCGGCCGAUUCAGCUGGAACCGGCUGGAAUUUGAACCGCGGGUCCUCCAUAGCAUGCCCGUUAUUUUUGCCAAAAAUCAUUUUUAGCUUCACAGGUAGGCAUUUCAUCAAAGAAUCGACAACAGAUUUGCAUGACUCAAACCCUAGCCACGGACGGCCGUCGCGACAAAAUUGGCCGGUUUUUGAAAACACCGUAAAAAAAUCAAAAAAAUGGGAGACCUCCACGUCACAUCAUGAAAUGUGGCCUACCAACUAGCAAAAAUACUAAACUUGGAAUACUGACAUUUUCUUGAAAAGGUGUUCUAAAAAACGACCUACCAUGAACGAAGAUUCAUGGCUUUCAAGCCAAACUAGCAAUGAUAUGGCCGCAUCCGUUGAAUAGUUUUUGAUAAUAUGCCCAAAUUUGGCGCAUGCCUUCGUCUUGUGAUGGGAAACAAUGUUGCCAAAGCGAGGUUCCAACUUGUUUCACACAAAAAACGGUUUUCAUUUUUUGAAUGCUAAAGCAUGCGUUUUUUGUGAAGCGGCUACAAGGAGGGUCACCCCAAAUGGUGCCAUUCCAUGUCUAUCUCAAAGUAGACCCUAUUUUACAAACGGUCACAAAAAAUCAUGCAUUUCUGACCCUCGUAGCUACUCUCGGCCAUUCAGACCACCUUCGGCCGAUUCAGCUGGAACCGACUGGAAUUUGAACUGCGGGUCCUCCAUAGCUUGCCCGUUAUUUUUGCCAAAAAUCAUUUUUAACUUCACAGGUAGGCAUUUCAUCAAAGAAUCGACAACUUAUUUGCAUGACUCAAAUCCUAGCCACAGACGACCGCCGCGACGAAAUCGGCCGGUUUUUGAAAACACCGUAAAAAAUUCAAAAAAAUCAAAAAAAAUGGGAGACCUCCGCGUCACAUCAUCAAAUGUGGCCUACCAACUAGCAAAAAUACUAAACUAGAAAUACCGACAUUUUCUUGAGUUAUUCGGUAUGAUUUUAACCAUUAUUUCUACAAAGUUUACAAAAAAGACCCUGAAUUUUUCUGCCUCCAAACCUUUAAAAAAUGGUGAAAAUUUCCCUCCCACCCCACCAAAUUUUCCCUCCCACCCCACCAAAAUUUCCCACCACUUCUCUCCCACUACCAUGCGGGACCCACCACCCCUCUCCCACUAAACACGCUGGAUCCCCAUUCCCCUCUCUAAAAUUUCCCCAUUCCCCUCCCCUCUCCCCGACGAACCCUAGCUUCUCCCUACCCUGNNNNNNNNNNNNNNNNNNNNNNNNNNNNNNNNNNNNNNNNNNNNNNNNNNNNNNNNNNNNNNNNNNNNNNNNNNNNNNNNNNNNNNNNNNNNNNNNNNNNNNNNNNNNNNNNNNNNNNNNNNNNNNNNNNNNNNNNNNNNNNNNNNNNNNNNNNNNNNNNNNNNNNNNNNNNNNNNNNNNNNNNNNNNNNNNNNNNNNNNNNNNNNNNNNNNNNNNNNNNNNNNNNNNNNNNNNNNNNNNNNNNNNNNNNNNNNNNNNNNNNNNNNNNNNNNNNNNNNNNNNNNNNNNNNNNNNNNNNNNNNNNNNNNNNNNNNNNNNNNNNNNNNNNNNNNNNNNNNNNNNNNNNNNNNNNNNNNNNNNNNNNNNNCCCGCUCCCUCCCCUGCUCCGCGCCGCCCCACUCCCUCCCCUGCUCCAGGCCGCCCCCCGUGCCGCCCCACCGUGUCGCGCUGCCCUACAUCGCCCGCAUCGACUACAUCGACGACGACGAUGACGACGGCUACAUCAACGACGACGACGGCUACAUCGACUACAUCGACGACGACAACGGCUACAUCGAUGACGACGAGGUCGACGACGACCACUACUGCAUCAUCAACAUCAUCCCCCCCUAGGUACUUCUCCCCUUGAUCCAUCUCCCCUCCUCUGGUGGAUCCAUCUCCCCUCUGGUGGUUCAGUUGAUCCCCCUCAUGGGUUAGGAUAUUCUAGAGUUAGGAUCUCCUGGUGGUUCAGUAGGUCCUUGUUCUUGGGGUUAGGGUUCAUGUUUUCCCGCCUGGUGGUUCGUUCGAUCCCCUUCUGGUAUUCUGCUCAGGGUUCGUUCAUUCUUUCUUGGGGUUGGUAAGCCUCUGCUGCUGCUGCUGCUGUAUAUGUGACCAUGCUUAGAAUGGAUACAAGUCUUCUUCUUCUUGAUUAGUUCCUAUGUAGAGUAUGUAUACGCUGGAAUAGAACUCUCUCAUUUUUUGGAUAAAUGGCAUGAAUUUUGGUUAUCUGGAGGUUAUAUUUUGGGCUUCUCUGAAUAUUGUUGGGCACCUGAUAGUGUUGUUAUAGUACCAAUCAGAUACUGUAGACCAUUGUGCUAUACUAAUACUAGUACGAGACAUUGUCAGAUUUACCACAUGAUGUAUACGUGAUCAUGUGGGGACUGGGGAAGGAAAGAGAGCGUGAGGUGGGCUCUAUAUGUGCUCUGCUUAGAUGUAGUAUAUUUUGUCUGCUGUAUAUGUGCUCUGCUGCCGAUGUAUAUCUAUGUGCUCUGCUGCUCUAUGUACUGUUGUGCCAUGGCGACUUGGGGCGACUAAUCAAGCCAAGUCGUUGACUCAAGCCAGCAAGCCACUAGCCGCAGCCUUGGUGACUUGGCUUGACUCGGCGACUCAAAAACCUUGCUUCAAUUUCCUUCCUUCCUUCCUUGUUUCUGUCAGUAGCACUAUGCUUGUUUCUAUCGGUAGCACUUUCCAUGCUUGCUUGCUUGUAUUAGUAGCUCUUAUGCACUUUGCUUGCUUGCAACUAUGGUUUGUAUCAACAUGUACUUGAUUGCUUGUAGCACUUUGCUAUCAGUAGCACUACUAGGGUUUGUAGUAGUGUUCUUCUUUUAUGAUAUGCGCAUGAAGCUUGUGUUCUUCUUUCUAGUGAACAAGAGAAUGCUUAGUACUUAUUAUGGUAUUGGAAUUCCUGGUGUGUUAAGGCAGUAUGACUAGUUUUAAUAUAUACUAGAUUGGUGCUAGAUAAUUUUGGGUGUUGUAAUAUACAAGGUUGAUUCUAAUUGUUGAAAUGUCUUAACUUGUGUAAUCUAGUCUGUAGCCAUUUUUUGUGUGUAGAGGCAGCAUAAUCAAUAGUUGAGUAUAGUUUUUUCAUCUGUUUUUGUACUGCUGCAAGUAUAGUUGUUUCAUGCUUUACCAGUGGCAACAUCUAGUUGUUUUGAAGGUACUCAUAAUAUACUCGUCUAGCUUGCUGUCAGACUGUCUAAGCAUGUGUACAUGACACCAAUUCACUAGUUCAUGUUGCUUGCUUGCUAGCAUACAUGUUGCUUGCUAGCAUACAUGCUUAAUUAGGGUUUCCAUCAGCAGUACUUGCUUGUAUCAGUAGCACUUGGAGAAGAAGCUACUUGCUUGCUUAUUAAUUAGGGUUUGUAUCAAUAGUACUUGCUUGCUUCUUUUCAAUUUCCUUCAUUGCUUGCUUGUUUCUAUCAGUAGCACUUUGCUUGCUUGCUUGCUUGUAUUAGUAGCACUUAUGCACUUUGCUUACUUGCUACUAGUGUACAUGCAUGCUUGUUCGGUGCACUUACAUGUUUGCUUAAUUAAUAAGAGUACAUCAUUGUAUUGUUGAUUCAUCAAGUUUGCUUCACCUAUAUUACAUGUAUGUGCAUGAUGGUCCAAAUGCUUUCAUUGAUUGAUACAAGUGCAUCAUUUACUUUAUCCCUAUUGUAUCUGAUUGUUGUUUAUUCUAUUUUGCAAGCACCACCUCAAGAUCAUCCAUGGCAAGGAUGACAAGGUCAAACAAGAGGCCAACCAUUGGUAUGCAAUUUGCCCCUUGGGGUUAUACUAUCAGUUCUAUAAAAUAUGUGUCUUAAUAUGCUAAGUGAAAUGUAUUUCUGCAAUCUGAAUAAGCUGGCUUAAUUGUGCAUGUGUGCUGUUAGUCUUCCUUACCUGAAUAACUAGGAUUAAAUAAUAAUAAAAUCUCAUAAGAAAUGUUUGGCUGGCUGUCCAUGCAUUCCAAACAUUCACCUAAUAGUUACGUUUCCUUUAUCAUGCAAAGAAGAGCCUCUCACCGAGUACGAGAAGGUUAGGGCUAGAAAUAUUAUGAGGAAUAAUCGGACGUUCCAGUCCCUUGGCAUCAGUGCAAUAGCGUCAAUGAUGAGGAAAACAAAUGAUGUACAAGAAGGUAGUAGUGAUGAGGUUCAAGAAGGUAGUGGAGUUAUCAAUGAUGACCCAGAGUACAAUCCUAAGGAGGAUGAAGUUAUUGAUGGAGAGGAAGUGGAUGAUGUCGUAGUGAAGAAGACUGUUAAGGUGCAAACGCUGUCUUGCUUGGAGGGUUGGGGGUUCUUUUAUGCUAUGUGUUUCCUUGUGCUCACAUAUUUCUCUUGUGAUGUAAUGCUUUUUUCCGCGCUGUUUAUACGAGGCACUGAAGGAAUCUAGGACGAAGAGGCCUGGUGUUAAGAAGACAGUCAACAAGAAGAAGAAGAGCUCAGAAACAUCUACUACAAUGCCUCCUGUAAGGGUGAUGGCCCUAGCUCCAUGACAAAAAAGAGGAUCCUGGAACCUGAUGAACCUGCCCCUGAUAGAGUCACAAGGCAGAAACCAAAGAUGGCGACUGCGAUGGACCAUCAGGAAAGUCUGCUGCGCAUGGACUCUGAGACCUCGGUGCAAAUGGGUGAUGAGUUGCCGCCCAUGGAUGAAGGAACCACUCUCUGCAUGGAUGGAAGUGGCACUGUCAGCCUAGAUGAAGGAGGAACCAUCAGCAUAGAUGAAGCAGGCACUGUCCACACAGACCUCAGCCCUGUUGUACCUUCUAUUGACAUGAAUGUUAUCAUUAAUGAAGAAGAACAUCAGCUUGUGCUUCAACCAGGCAAGUUAACCUUUGUAAUGCUCUCUUUUACUAGUGCAUUUUCCAAAUGUAAUGAUCAUGCAUGCUUUUGUCGAUUCCUCCAUCUGUCGAUUUCUAUUCUAAUUUAUGAGUUCAAUUUCAUUUUCAAAUGCAAUGACUACCAAGACUAGACUUAGAAAGGGCAAAGGGCUAGAGAGAAUCACCAAGUCGCUUGGUAGCAAGGUGCCUAUACAAAUUGCCGAAGGGAUAAAGCGUCCAGAGAAGCCUCUGCAGGCAGCAAAGCUUGCUUCUGAGUGUGGACUCGUUGCAAGAAGCCAUCUGCCGGUUCUUCCUCACUUCAAGUUAUACAAAAAAUGGUAGUCUAUUGAAGAACUAUAUUGGGAAAGUUGUUGUACGCUACUUGUUUCAUAGUUAAUGUGCUACCUAUUUUCCGUUAUACCUAUGCAUGAUCACUAAUAUUGUUCCUACUUUGUUUACUAUCUUGGUAGGCAAAUUUUGAGAUGAACACGGACUCGGAGACCAUCAAGACCGCGUGCAAAGAUAUUCUUCAGAAAAAUUCAAAGAACAGACACUAUCAGAUCAAGAAGAAGUAUUUUGAUACCGUAGCCGCAAACAAAGUCAGCAUCAAGUCUCCGGUGCCAGAUCUGACGGACGGUGAAUGGCGAGCUCUGGUGGAGAUGUGGUCUACCCCAAGGCACAAGGUUUGUCUCUGUUUUGUUUGCUGCUUUAUGUUCUGCACACGAUAUGCUAGUGCUAGAUCAUGCUGACAGUAUGCUUUUUUGUAGGAAACCUGUAUGUCGAACAAGAUGAAUCGAGAAAAAGUCGUGUAAAAUCAGAGAACUGGUUCCAGGCACUACACAACACACAUUUUUGCCACUGUGAGAACUUUUCUCUAGAGACCUUAUCAUUUGAUCCUCGUUGAAUAUCAUUUCUGAUUCUUGCUGAAUAACAUUUUGAUUUUUGUUGAAAAACAUUUCAGAAAGAAGAGCGUAAGGGUGAGGAGCUGUCUGCGAUUGACUUGUUUAAGGCCACCCACAACAGCAAGAAGCACGGGUUUUUGGAGCCAGUCAAGACUGCUAUAGUAAGUCAUUCCAUGCUUUGUCCAGCCAGCUCAAACUUUUGUCUAGAAACCUCAGCCCUGUUUGAUUCACAGCCAGCUUUGAUGUUGUUUGAUGCUUUGAUGAUUUGAUGUUGUUUGAUUCGGAGCCAGUCAAGAACACACGCUAUGUUCCAUGCUUUGAUGAUUUGAUGCUGUUUGAUAGUUCAACAAAGAUAUCAGAACUUGUUGUAGCUAUUUGUUGCAUUUUUUAUGAUAUGAUGAAAUUUGAUCUGAAUGUUAGCUUGAUGAUCGGCUCACUCGGGAAGCCAUCUUAUAUAUAACCACCAUUCUAGGCUUAAUGAAGCGAUCAUAUUGUUCCAAUUGCAUGUCUCCAGGUCACUAGUCAUCAUCUUCUUGUAUAGAUUUUGUGUGCUGGUUUGGUUACUUCAAAUAAUCCAUUUGUGUGCUGGUUUGGUUUGCAAAAUGUGAAAUAGAUCUCCCACUAAUGCCUAUCAUUUUCCUCCAUAUGCUAGCUUGAGAUGGAAAAAAUGAAGGACGCGCUGGUACCAGAUGGUGAAGAGCCAAAGGCUGCUGUUGAAAUUGUUGAACAAGUGCUCAAGACCAAAGUCAAGCAAAGCACAUUCCUCAGGAAUGUUGGGCUCCAGUCAUCUAGGAACAACUCUAGCAAAGUAACUGCUGAAGUGGCUGCUCAUGUUCGUGAUCUUGAGCAGAAGCUGGAGAGGUCUGAGCUUCAAGCUGAAGUGAUGCAAGAAGAAUUGGCGGCAAUCAAGAUGAAGGCGGAAGAAUCUGAAGCUGCACGCGACAAGGAACUUGAGCUGCUGCACAAGAAGUCUCAAGAGCGGGAAGAGAAGUUAGCCCACUUGAUGGCUCUCUUUGGAGCUAAGGUAGUUUGAUGGCUGUGCAGUUUGUCUUUGAACCUCUUAUGCAGUUUGUCAUAGUUUAGAUCUCUUUGAUGGUUGUGAACCUAUGAACCUGGGAGCAUUUUGUUGCAUUUUGUUGCAUUUUGCUGUUUGAACCUGGGAGCUGUGAAGUUAUGUGAUCCUGUGCGCUGUGAAGUUAUGUGAACCUGUGAAGUUAUGUGAUCUUGUGAACCUGUGUUUAUUUUCUGUGAAGUUAUGUGGAUCACUUGUGCACCUGGGCCUUGCUUUUUGAACCUGGCCUUGUGGAUCACCUGUGCACCUAGGCCUUGCUGUUUAUAGUUAUGCAAAAUAAGAACCUUGGCUCUAAAAAGGUCGAGGCCCAAACAAGAAUUAGACUAAAAAGGCUUGGGCAUAAAAAAGAGUUGAUUGUAAGAAAAAAGUUUGUAAAAGGUUGCAUAACAGAAAAUAAAAAGGCCAAGGCCCAAAUUCGAACUAGACUAAAAAGGUUGUGGCCCAAAACAACAGUGGACUAUAAAAAAAUUCAUCAGAAAAAGGCUCCAUUCCCAGAAAAUAAAAGGCCAAAUUAUUGGGCCAGGCCCAUGCAGAUAAGCAAAAUAAAGAGAAAAAACAUUAAAUGGGAUGAAUUAUUGGGCUUGGCCCAUGUACACGACUGAAAUGGACCGAGCUGAUUCUAUUUUAUGACCUUUUCAUUUGGUCAUAAUUCUGCCACAUCAGCUUGCCACGGUGGAUCUGACAUGGUGUGGUCGGAUUGCUAGUGACCAAAAUAAUUGGUCGUUAAAUCUACGACCUUUUUUGUCAUAAACGUCUACGACUAUUCCAGAAGAAAGGUCCCUAAUUUCAGUUUACGACGGCCAGCAUUUGACCUUCUGUUUUUGGUCACAAAAAGGUCACAAAUGGAAAACAAUGACCAUUGAGUGACCAAUAGUGGUGGUCACAAGUUGACAUAUUUCUUGUAGUGCAUGAUACUCGCUCCAGCUUCAUCAACAUAGUCAUCAUCGCUGUCAUCGGGGUCUGAGUCGGUGUCAUCAAUGAUGAUGUAGUCCUCCGAACGAAUGUCUUUGGAAUCGUCAUCAUCUCCUCCUAGCGCGGGGUCUCCCAUGAAUACUCCUAGCUUCCUUGUCUGGUCAUCAUUCUUCUCCACUAGUAUCGUCAUUUCCCCCUCAUAUCCGUCGCGUGUAGACUUGAGUUCCUCCUCUAGCUCCGAAAUCUUGGUCCUUGCCUUCUUCAGAUCUAUCAUGCCUGCGCACAUCUGGUUCUCCUGGCGACGAAUGUGCUGGUUUAACUCCUGGAUAAAAGCUGCAAUGGACCUGUCCCUCUUGGUGCUGAUCAUCUCCCAUUGCUCAUCUCAGUGCCCACAUAUCUGGUAGAUAUUGUCCUUGAGAUCCUUGUGAUAAACUUACCCAAUGCGUCCCAUGGCGAUGUGGAAUGCCAUGCUCUUUCCUAGACUCUAGGUUGGUGCAGCAAAGGAAAACUCUAUGGGCUCAGUGACUGGCAUGAACGUCCUUCCUAGAACUUGAACUCGAAUCAUCAACGCUCGUCUUCUGGUAAAGUGGUGAUGUAGGUCCCGGUGAAACUUGGUAUUCCGAUGUUCAGGUACCUAGUAACUUCCUUCAAAUGUCGUCCAAAAGGUGUAUCUUCAUCCGGUUGCGUAAACUUGUUCCUUGAGUCCGCCAUCCUAUAGUGUGGAAAAGGGAGAGGAGUAAGAAAUGAGUAGAGAAGAGUGACCUAUGGUUUUAGCAUAGUGGUCGUGUCCUACAGUCAUCGUGUGCUCUGAUACCAUCCUGUAGCGACCAGACCUCAAACAGUCUAGUCUCUGUGCAUCAGUGUCAUCCCUGGAUCGGUAAUGCUGACACGCACAGUACUUGAGGAUUUAUAACAGAGUCUCAACCACACACUUAUUACAUCGAAUGUCUCAAAAGAGAACUUAUUACAAUAAUAUGGCUUAAGGCCAUCUAAAUAAGAUAACAGUGGAAGGCUUGGAAGAUAAAGUGAGUCCAUCAACUCCAACGACAUAGCUGAGUGAACGACAACGAGCUAUGGCACCUUACUCGUCGUCUGAAAAGUCUGCAACAUGAUAUGUUGCAGCCCAAAACAUGUCAGCACAUGGAAUAUGCUGGCAAUGUAACACAAGAGAGUAAUGAACAUAAUAAAUGCUAUCACUACAUGCAUAUAUGGCUGGUGGAAAGCUCUAUGGUUAAAGUUUUUGCAAUAAGCCAAUUUUUUCCUACAACAAAGGAAUAGAUUUUAUUUAACUAUCAUGGUGGUUGUUAAACAUUGAGAAGGUUCCUCCAACUCAAUACCAAUUAAGCAAUAUCAAUUAAACCCAACAAAUUAAUUUAAAGUGAUGAGAUCAACAUGAUAAUCCAAGAACCAGGUACUCAAGAUGUCCAUAACCGGGGACAUGACUAACCAUGAUUAGUUUGUACACUCUGCAGAGGUUUGCGCACUUUUCCCCACAAGACUCGAUCUCCUCCGUUAGAUUUCUCACACUACAUGGUGUUUGAGAAACGGAUGACCGAGACACAGUCUUUCAGAAACAUUGACUCUUUACUCUGGAAGGACAGUUACACCUACUUUCCCCUACAUCUGCUAGCCCACCACUGAAAGAGGUCAUGCAACCUACUCAACUAUGCUGGAGCCCAUAAUAGCUUGUGGCUGCACACGGAAGUUUCUAGCAUGAAUAAUCUUAUGAUCCCUUUGAGCCUAGUUAGCGAACAAUAGGAUAAUCACAUGGGUACUCCAGGAUAUCCUAGGACAACAUUGGAUUCUCCAGGUGCCCUGACAACCACUGGGUACUCCAGGGUGCCUCAACCAAUCCACCCAGAUGUGUAUUUAUGUAGCAACCUUAAGUUAACCAUUUUUUGACAAUUCUAUCAUCUGUCAUGGAUACGCUCAACCAAUCUACGUCUACGAGCAUAGCAUAGCAAUCCUGAGCAAUCAUAGAAGUAACUCCCAAAGGUUUGAUAAUAAAAGGGCAAUAGGUUCUACCACAUCAUCUACUUCCCGAACCCACAUGUUAUUCAGAUCCUAACCAUGCAAUGUUUGAGGAUUGAGACUAAUGCAAAAAAAACUGGAUAAUAAAGAGGUAUGAUCAAAGUGUUACUUGCCUUGCUGAUGAUCCGCAAAACCUAGAGACUCGUAGUAGCAUGCUUCGCACUCCGGGUAUUCUAUCGCAAACAAAAAAUAACAUACAUAAGCACUCAACUAGAAGCACGGGUAAAACUAAAAUAAGAAGAUCUAACCAGGAAGUUCAACUGAAGAACUCUGGUUUGCAAAAAGAAUCAAAUCAAACGGAGCAACGAAACUCAAACUAUGAAAGAAACAAGAAUCGUUUACUAAUCUGGACUAAAGUCAAAUUUUACAGUACCAAAAUCUUGUCAAGUUGGUUACACAGAAAGAGGGCUUUGACGCGAAGAUCUAGGCGCGUGUUUCAUCUAAUUCAGAUAAACGAGCGAAAAGAUAAACUAGAUCGAAGAUCAGGGCAGAAACAGCGAUCGAAAAUAAUCGCGGAUAAACCCUAGAAAAUAAAACGAGACGAACAGGCUAAUGAACGAACAUUUGCUGUCUGCGACUAAUCGACGAACAACGUUCGUUAAAAUAAACGUACGGACGAACGUCUGCUAAAUAACUAAACCAAAAAAACGAACCGAUCUAUUCUAAAAAAUAGUUUUAGGUUUCUAUAAAAACCGAACGGUUAACCAAGAAAAAAAAGAUGAACGGCCGGCGGUGGCGGUGGCUACCUCUGGCGAGGCGGGGCGCGGGCGGCGGCGGCUAUGGGGCGACGGCAGGCGGCGCGGGCGUCGGCGGGAGGCGGCGGGUGGUGCAGCGACGGCAUGAAGCGGCUCCGACGGCACGGCAGGCAGCGGCAGCUCCGACGGCGGUGGUGCACUGCUACUGCGGCUUGUAGGGCGGGGCGGGGUGGCGAUGUGGGGGCGGCGGUGGCUCUAUUUAAGGGGGAAGAGGGGGUUGGGUGGCUUGGGGGGAGGGGUUGUCGGCAGCGGGAGUCCGAGGAGGCGGCGUGCGCGAGCGGGAGGCCGACUCAGGGUCAGGGACGACGCGAACUGGGCCGGCUGGGCUUCGGCCCAGUCGGUCCGAAGAACUUUUUUUUAAAUAAUUCCGUCAAACAGAAAAAAAA